GUCAUGGCCCUUGGUGCGGUGGAUCUUGCAGUACUGCUUGUCAGAGCCUCCUGGCUUGCCGGCGGGCGCCAAGGCCAAGCAGGCGGCACACCCGGCAACCUGCUUGCCGGGUUCAUCAUCCUUGGCCUUUUUGGUGGCGCCGAGCUCACCGGAUCCCUCAACGGCAAGCACAGUCUUGCCCUUGCGCUUCCUGUUGCGGUGGCGGCCCUUCUUUAUCAGGGCGGCGGUGUCUUCGUCUAUGGAGUCGGUUUCCGCACCGGCGUCCUCGCCGGGGUACAUCCUCCCCUCUUUAGCUCGAGCACAUCUAUCGGCCAGAACAUAAAGUUCGGCCACAUCUUUGACCUUGUUCAUCGCGAACUCUUCAUGCAUCUUGCAGUUGCGCACAUUCUGAUGAAAAGCGCUGAUAACGGCAGCAGGAUGAACAUCUGGGAUGUUGUACUGCACCGGGCUGAACCUCUGUAUGUACUUGUGCAGGUUUUCACCUUCCUUCUGGGGGAUGAUAUGCAAAUCGCUUGCCUGGCCAUGAGCUGGUGGCCUCCAGUAAAGGUGCCACCAAAAUCAUGACACAAAUCCGACCAAGAAGAAAUGGAAUCCACUGGAAAGUGCUUCAACCAUGACAUGACGUUGGGUUUGAGUGCCAACGGGAAGUAAUUGGCAAGCACCUUGUCGUCGCGAGCUCCAGCAGCUUGCAUCGCGAUGGUGUAGAUGCUGAGGAACUCCGACGGGUGGGUCUUGCCGUUGUACUUCUCGCCAACAUCGGGCUUGAACAUGCGGUGGGAGGGCCACUGGAACUUCCGUAGCUCUCGGGUAAAGGCUGGACAACCCACCUCGUAAGGCAGGUCGCCGGGGCCCCCGGCGCCGGGUGGUCGAUAGUAGGCCCUGCACGCUGAUCUGACUGAUGGCGCGUCUCCCGUCAUCGUUCGAUGGUAGUUCGAGCGUCCUCCUGGGCCCGUUCCCGAAGGACUUGACGUUGGUCGCGGCGUGUUCGCAGGUCGGACGAUGCUGUGGAAACAUUGUCACCGACNNNNNNNNNNNNNNNNNNNNNNNNNNNNNNNNNNNNNNNNNNNNNNNNNNNNNNNNNNNNNNNNNNNNNNNNNNNNNNNNNNNNNNNNNNNNNNNNNNNNNNNNNNNNNNNNNNNNNNNNNNNNNNNNNNNNNNNNNNNNNNNNNNNNNNNNNNNNNNNNNNNNNNNNNNNNNNNNNNNNNNNNNNNNNNNNNNNNNNNNNNNNNNNNNNNNNNNNNNNNNNNNNNNNNNNNNNNNNNNNNNNNNNNNNNNNNNNNNNNNNNNNNNNNNNNNNNNNNNNNNNNNNNGGGAGCGGCUCGUCUUUGUUGGCGAAGCUGAAAAGGCUUCGGAUGGUGGCUCUCCACUUGUCGAGCUUCUCCACAGCAGGGGGGAAGUCGAGGAGCAGCUGCACGCGCGCCAGCGCUUCUGCUGGCAUAGGCGGUGGGGAGAUCUGCGUAGACCGUGACGCGCUCCGACUUCUAACUGGGUUAGAAGGGGCUCUGUCGCGGUCUCGUGGUCGCACGCCGCCUGCACCGGUGUCUGAGCGCGCACGCCGGCCUGGUUCGUCCUGUAAGUGGCGCACAGGGCUCUUUCCGCGACGGUGCCCGGGGGAUCCGGCAUCGCGGUGUUGCUCAUCGCGCGUGGCCUGGGAAGGGCGUGGCGUGGGCGCAUGCUGGGGUGCCGUAGAGGCUGCUGUGCCGCCCGUGGGCAGCACGGCCCCGCCCCCGGACCCAGCGGCGCGUGGCUCGUCGUCUCGGAUUCGGACGACGCCGCUCGCCUGGCUCCGAUUGCUAGAAUGGCGUGGAUACUCGCGGGCCACGUCUCGAGCCCCAUCCGUGGACGAGCCGAUCGCUGUGAUCCCCUUUCUCUUGGGGGCCAUGGUGAUGAUGAAGUCAAUGUGCUAACCUUCAAACCGAAUUUUCACAGCUUCCGGCCUCCUACCUGGCAGCCAAAGAUGUCGGGGGAAACGACACCUACGGGAUCGCGAGGAAUCCCUUUUGCUACGGUUGGCGGGCGCGAGGCUGUGGAAAGAGCGGGAUUGAGAGAUCAAUGCAGGGGGAUUAUCCAGGUUCGGGCCGCAAGUGAUGCAUAAUACCCUACUCCUGUUGGUUUCUGUUUAUCUGGUGUUCUUGGACUAGCUACAAGGUUUGUAGGGUCCAAAAAGUCCGAAUCCUUUCUCUGUAUGCCGCGGGCCUCCUUUUAUAGACAAAGGGGCUGCCACAGUGGCACACAGGAAGUGGAAAGCUAUACAGUCGUCGAGUCUAUCCUCUGGCACCAUAGGACAAACACAUUUAAUGCGCUGCCGACGUGUCCUUCUUGCUUUAUCGGGGACGACAAGGAAGCUCGUCCCAGCUGUCGCCGCCUCGCCUGGCUUCGAUGCGCGUUCGAACAGACGAGGCGUGUAGCGCCACGCUGGCUGGCUGGUUGCUGAGUUGGUGCGGUGGCAGAGCCUUCACAAAGAUCUGCAUGCCACCACGCAGGCGCUUGCUCCUAGAGGCCGUACGUCGCCACGCAGGUGCUUGCCUAGUUGGUGGGCUGGCAGCUGCAUGGGAACGGCGGUGGAGUCUUGGCAGAUGUGGGCCUGGCGGCGACCCUGCGGAUGUCUUCGACAAGGGACUUGUCGGGGCCCCGGCAAGGGUCUUGCCGCGGCGUCGUGGGCGUCCCCGGCAAUGGUCUUGCCGGGGGGGCUCGACUGUAUCCUCGGCAAGGAUCUUGCCGAGGAUAUCAGUUUUCUGGUUCUCAUCUAAUCUUGCACGUUCUUGGUCUUCACAAAGAUCUGCAUGCCAGCACGGAGGCGCCUCUCGAGCUUUGGUUCCAAUGUUGUUGAGGGCAUCGGAACUCUCAGGCUCCAGGGUGGCAGCCUUGCUGGCGCUGGGCAAGUUGCCCCAGCAAGGUUCUUGCCGGGGCUGUGGAGGCCGCCCUGGCAAGGUUCUUGCCGGGGGAGUCCACCUCGCCCUUCUACUCUUUGUGUUUCCGGCUUGGCGUUGGUCUGGUCGUCUCAUGCCUUUACUUCCUCUGCCCCGCCAAGCGUGGCCAGGGGCAUGGGGCUGCGACUGCCCGCGCACAAGUAAAGGGGUGCAAAAAGGGACCCCUACUUUUGUACACCAACAGCGAUCGACCUUCUGGUGAAGACUGAGGAGAAGCUCAUGAUCAGUCAUCACUCUGGGAGCUAUGCCUUGAGGAUUUUUCUUUGAGCCAUUGGCGGCAGAGUCAUGAGUGGCAGAGUCAUCAUUGGUGGAGUAAGAUGCAGCUUUGCGAAAUUGACCAUCCAAUGGACGAAUGCCUUCAUCAAUAACAGCAGUGACCUUGCCCUUUUCAUCAGCUGAGGAAAAUGUCCGUUUGAGGACUUCAAUGGGGGGCAAGUAGCUGUCAUGGUUGAGUGUAUUAGCCUUGUAAUUGAUUGAAGACCUUGAUCUGAGGAAUCUCAUAAUCCAGGGAGCGUAAGGCUUCAAUUCAAAUGGAGAUAAUGCAACAUUGGCCAGAGUCCUCAUGAAGAAAUCAUGGUAAUUGACAGGAACGCCAUGAAUGAUGUUGAAUAGCAGAUUCUUCAUGAUACCAAUGACCUCCUCUUCAUUCGAGUCGUGGCCCUUGAUUGGACUCAAAGUCUUAGUCAAGAUGCGAUAGACACUCUGUGGCACAUACAGAAAUUCCUUCACGAGUAAUUUGGUCCUUGGGGCUUGACCGGGCUUCAGCGGCUUCAUCAACACUUGCAUAUAGUGGUCAGUAAGUUCAGGUUCAUGAUAUAUACAACGUGCACCUUCCAGGGGAGGACUGACAGGCAGGGCCUGAAGCAAUUCAGAGGCCGGUGCUUUGAAGUGAGUAUUCUCUGUCAUCCAAUCCAACACCCAAGAGUUCACAUCGGCAGCAUUUCCUCUGAUGUGUAGCGUUGCAUAGAACUGAAGAAUUAGUUCUUCAUUCCAAUGACAUAUAUAUGUGCAGAAGUUGAGCAGUCCAGUUUCGUGAAGAACACUAAGGACUGGCGUGAAGCAAGGCAUUGAUUCCAUGUCCACGUGAGGAAUAUGCUCAUGGUCGAAGACUUUGUCCUUAUCAAAAAGCUGUGAAGAAAGGAAGUUUGCUUGGCUGGCAGUCCAGAAACACUUCCUUCUAAGACGAGCAGAGUCAUAUUUGUUGUAAUUGAUACGUCUCCAACGUAUCUAUAAUUUUUGAUUGCUCCAUGCUAUAUUAUCUUCUGUUUUGGACAUUAUUGGGCUUUAUUAUUCACUUUUAUAUUAUUUUUGGGACUAACCUAUUAACCGGAGGCCCAGCCCAAAAUUGUUGUUUUUGCCUAUUUCAGAGUUUCGCAGAAAAAGAAUAUCAAACGGAGUCCAAACGGAAUGAAACCUUCGGGAACGUGAUUUUUGGAACGAACAUGAUCCAGGAGACUUGGACCCUAAGUGAAGGAAGCUUCGAGUAAGCCACGAGGAAGGGGCGCGCCUACCCCCCCAGGCGUGCCCUCCACCCUCGUGGGCCCCACGUUGCUCCACCGACGUACUCCUUGCUCCUAUAUAUACCUACGUACCCCCAAACGAUCAGAUACGGAGCCAAAAACCUAAUUCCACCGCCGCAACCUUCUGUACCCAUGAGAUCCCAUCUUGGGGCCUGUUCCGGAGCUCCGCCGGAGGGGGCAUCGAUCACGGAGGGCUUGUACAUCAACACCAUAGCCCCUCCGAUGAAGUGUGAGUAGUUUACCUCAGACCUUCGGGUCCAUAGUUAGUAGCUAGAUGGCUUCUUCUCUCUUUUUGGAUCUCAAUAGAAUGUUCUCCCCCUCUCUCAUGGAGAUCUAUUCGAUGUAAUCUUCUUUUGCGGUGUGUUUGUUGAGACCGAUGAAUUGUGGGUUUAUGAUCAAGUUUAUCUAUGAACAAUAUUUGAAUCUUCUGAAUUCUUUUAUGUAUGAUUGGUUAUCUUUGCAAGUCUCUUCGAAUUAUCAGUUUGGUUUGGCCUACUAGAUUGAUCUUUCUUGCAAUGGCAGAAGUGCUUAGCUUUGGGUUCAAUCUUGCGGUGUCCUUUCCCAGUGACAGCAGGGGCAGCAAGGCACGUAUUGUAUUGUUGCCAUUGAGGAUAAUAAGAUGUUUUUUUUAUCAUAUUGCAUGAAUUUAUCCCUCUACAUCAUGUCAUCUUGCUUAAGGCGUUACUCUGUUCUUAUGAACUUAAUACUCUAGAUGCAUGCUGGAUAGCGGUCGAUGUGUGGAGUAAUAUUAGUAGAUGCAGGCAGGAGUCGGUCUACUUGUCUCGGACGUGAUGCCUAUAUACAUGAUCAUACCUAGAGAUUCUCAUAACUAUGCUUAAUUCUUUCAAUUGCUCAACUGUAAUUUGUUCACCCACCGUAAAAUACUUAUGCUCUUGAGAGAAUCCACUAGUGAAACCUAUGGCACCCGAGUCUAUCUUCAUCAUAUUAAUCUUCCAACACUUAGUUAUUUCCUUUGCUUUUUACUUUGCUUUUAUUUUACUUUGCAUCUUUAUCGUAAAAAUACGAAAAAUAUUAUCCUAUCAUAUCUAUCAGAUCUCACUCUCGUAAGUGACCGUGUAGGGAUUGACAACCCCUUAUCGCGUUGGUUGCGAGGAUUUAUUUGUUUUGUGUAGGUGUGAGGGACUGGCGCGUAGCCUCCUACUGGAUUGAUACCUUGGUUCUCAAAAACUGAGGGAAAUACUUAUGCUACAUUGUUGCAUCACCCUUUCCUCUUCAAGGGAAAACCAACGCAGUGCUCAAGAGGUAGCAAGAAGGAUUUCUGGCACCAUUGCCGGGGAGGUCUACGCAAAAGUCAACAUACCAAGUACCCAUCACAAACCCUUAUCUCCCGCAUUACAUUAUUUGCCAUUUGCCUCUCGUUUUCCUCUCCCCCACUUCACCCUUGCCGUUUUAUUCACCCUCUCUUUUUCGUUCGCCUCUUUUUCGCUUGCUUUUUGUUUGCUCGUGUGUUGGAUUGCUUGUUUGUCAUGAUGGCUCAAGAUAAUACCAAAUUAUGUGACUUUACCAACACCAACAAUAAUGAUUUCCUUAGCACUCCGAUUGCUCCUCUUACCGAUACUGAAUCUUGUGAAAUCAAUGUUGCUUCGUUGAAUCUUGUUAUGAAAGAUCAAUUCGCCGGCCUUCCUAGUGAAGAUGCCGCUACUCAUCUAAAUAGUUUCGUUGAUUUGUGUGAUAUGCAAAAGAAGAAAGAUGUGGACAAUGAUAUUCUUAAAUUGAAGCUAUUUCCUUUUUGCUUAGAGAUCGUGCUAAAGCUUGGUUUUCGUCUUUGCCUAAAAAUAGUAUUGAUUUCUGGAAUAAGUGCAAAGAUGCUUUUAUCUCUAAGUAUUUUCCUCCCACUAAGAUCAUCUCUCUUAGAAACGAUAUUAUGAAUUUUAAGCAACUUGAUCAUGAACAUGUUGCACAAGCUUGGGAGAGGAUGAAAUUAAUGAUACGUAAUUGCCCUACUCAUGGUUUGAAUUUGUGGAUGAUUAUACAAAAAAUUUAUGCCGGAUUGAACUUUGCUUCUAGAAAUCUUUUAGAUUCGGCCGCAGGAGGCACUUUUAUGGAAAUCACUUUAGGAGAAGCUACUAAACUCCUAGAUAAUAUUAUGGUUAAUUAUUCUCAAUGGCACACUGAAACAUCUACUAAUCAAGAAGUGCAUGCGAUAGAAGAAAUUAAUGUUUUGAGUGGAAAGAUGGAUGAACUUAUGAAAUUAUUUGCCAGUAAGAGUGUUUCUUCUGAUCCUAAUGAUAUGCCUUUCUCUACUUUGAUUGAGAAUAAUAAUGAAUCUAUGGGUGUGAAUUUUGUUGGUAGGAAUAAUUUUGGUAACAACGCGUAUAGAAGAAACAUUAAUCCUAGGCCUUAUCCUAGUAAUUCCUCUAAUAAUUAUGGUAAUUCCUACAACAACUCUUAUGGAAAUUUUAAUAAGAUGCCCUCUGAAUUUGAGACUAGUGUUAAAGAGUUUAUGAAUUCGCAAAAGAAUUUCAAUGCUUUGCUUGAAGAGAUAUUGCUUAAAGUUGAUGAAUUGUCUAGGAACGUUGAUAGAAUUUCUCUUGAUGUUGAUUCUUUAAAACUUAGAUCUAUUCCUCCUAAGCAUGAUAUCAAUGAGUCUCUCAAAGCCAUGAGAAUUUCCAUUGAUGAGUGCAAAGAAAGAAUCGCUAGGAUGCGUGCUAAGAAAGAUUGCUUUAUGAAAGCGUGCUCUUCAAAUUUCUAUGAAAAUAAAGAUGAAGAUCUAAAAGUUAUUGAUGUGUCCCCUAUUAAAUCUUUGUUUUGCAAUAUGAAUCUUGAUAAUGAUGGGACUGAAUAUGAUCCACCUUUACCUAGAAGGUGGUCCAAAAAUUCAGAGUUUUUAGAUCUUGAUGCUAAAAUUGAUAAAAGUGGGAUUGAAGAAAUCAAAACGUUAGAUGUUAAUAAACCUACCAUUUUGGAUUUCAAGGAAUUUAAUUAUGAUAAUUUCUGUUUGAUAGAUUGUAUUUCCUUGUUCCAAUCCGUGCUAAAUUCUCCUCAUGCUUAUAGUCAAAAUAAAGCUUUUACCAAACAUACCGUUUAUGCUUUGAUGCAAUCUUAUGAAGAAAAACUUGAGUUGGAAGUUUCUAUCCCUAGAAAACUUUAUGAUGAGUGGGAACCUGCUAUUAAAAUUAAGAUUAAGGAUCAUGAGUUCUAUGCUUUAUGUGAUUUGGGUGCUAGUGUUUCCACUAUUCCCAAAACUUUGUGUGAUUUGCUAGGUUUCCGUGAUUUUGAUGAUUGCUCUCUAAACUUGCACCUUGCGGAUUCCACUAUUAAGAAACCUAUGGGAAGAAUUAAUGAUGUUCUUAUUGUUGCAAAUAGGAAUUAUGUGCCCGUAUAUUUUAUCGUUCUUGAUAUAGAUUGCACUCCUUCAUGUCCUAUUAUUCUUGGUAGACCUUUCCUUAUUGAUAUGAAGGAAGGGAAUAUUAGAUUCCAAUUUCCAUUAAAGAAAAGGCAUGGAACACUUCCCAAGGAAGAAAAUAAAACUACCAUAUGAAUCUAUCAUGAGAGCCACUUAUGGAUUGCCUACCAAAGAUGGCAAUACCUAGAUCUAUCCUUGCUUUUAUGCCUAGCUAGGGGCGUUAAACGAUAGCCCUUGUUGGGAGGCAACCCAAUUUUAUUUUUAGUUUUUUGCUUUUUGCUUCUGUUUAGGAAUAAAUAUUUGAUCUAGCCUCUGGCUAGAUGUGUUUUUAUGUUUUAAUUAGUGUUUGUGCCAAGUUAAACCUAUAGGAUCUUCUUGGAUGAUAGUUAUUUGAUUUUGCAGAAAUUUCCAGAAACUUUCUGUUCACGAAAAUAAUUGUUAAAAAUCACCAGAACGUUAUAAAAUAUUGAUUACAAUUGCUGCUGAUCAAUAAACAAAUUUUCUAGGUCAUCCUAUUUUGUCUGAUGUUUUGGAGUUUCAGAAGUUUGCGUUAGUUACAGAUUACUACAGACUGUUCUGUUUUUGACAGAUUCUGUUUUUCGUGUGUUGUUUGCUUAUUUUGAUGAAUCUAUGGCUAGUAAAAUAGUUUAUAAACCAUAGAGAAGUUGGAAUACAGUAGGCUUGACACCAAUAUAAGUAAAGAAUGAGUUCAUUACAGUACCUUGAAGUGGUCUUUUGUUUUCUUUCGCUAACGGAGCUCACGAGAUUUUCUGUUAAGUUUUGUGUUGUGAAGUUUUCAAGUUUUGGGUGAAAGAUUUGAUGGAUUAUGGAACAAGGAGUGGCAAGAGCCUAAGCUUGGGGAUGCCCAUGGCACCCCCAAGAGAAUCUAAGGACACCAAAAAUCCAAAGCUUGGGGAUGCCCCGGAAGGAAUCCCCUCUUUCGUCUACUUCCAUCGGUAACUUUACUUGGAGCUAUAUUUUUAUUCACCACAUGAUAUGUGUUUUGCUUGGAGCGUCUUGUAUGAUUUGAGUCUUUGAUUUUUAGUUUACCACAAUCAUCCUUUCUGUACACACCUUUUUGAGAGAGACACACAUGAUUCAGAAAUUAUUGGAAUACUCUAUGUGCUUCACUUAUAUCUUUUGAGUUAUAUAGUUUUGCUCUAGUACUUCACUUAUAUCUUUUAGAGCACGGUGGUGGAUUUGUUUUAUAGAAACUAUUGAUCUCUCAUGCUUCACUUAGAUUAUUUUGAGAGUCUUUAAUAGCAUGGUAAUUUGCUUAAAUAAUCCUAAUAUGCUAGGUAUUCAAGAUUAGUAAAAACUUUCUUAUGAGUGUUUUGAAUACUAAGAGAAGUUUGAUGCUUGAUGAUUGUUUUGAGAUAUGGAGGUAGUGAUAUUAAAGUUGUGCUAGUUGAGUAGUUGUGAAUUUGAGAAAUACUUGUGUUGAAGUUUGCAAAUCCCGUAGCAUGCACGUAUCGUAAACAUUAUGUAACAAAUUUGAAACAUGAGGUGUUCUUUGAUUGUCCUCCUUAUGAGUGGUGGUCGGGGACGAGCGAUGGUCUUUUCCUACCAAUCUAUCCCCCUAGGAGCAUGCGUGUAAUGCUUGGUUUUUGAUGACUUGUAGAUUUUUGCAAUAAGUAUGUGAGUUCUUUAUGACUAAUGUUGAGUCCAUGGAUUAUACGCACUCUCACCUUUCCAUCAUUGCUAGCCUCUUCGGUACCGUGCAUUGCCCUUUCUCACAUUGAGAGUUGGUGCAAACUUCGCCGGUGCAUCCAAACCCCGUGAUAUGAUACGCUCUUUCACACAUAAACCUCCUUAUAUCUUCCUCAAAACAGCCACCAUACUACCUAUUAUGGCAUUUCCAUAGCCAUUCUGAGAUAUAUUGCGAUGCAACUUUCCAUCGUUCCAUUUAUCAUGACACGUUCAUCAUUGUCAUAUUGCUUAGCAUGAUCAUGUAGUUGACAUAGUAUUUGUGGAAAAGCCACCGUUCAUAAUUCUUUCAUACAUGUCACUCUUGGUUCAUUGCAUAUCCCGGUACACCGCCGGAGGCAUUCAUAUAGAGUCAUACUUUGUUCUAGUAUCGAGUUGUAAUCAUUGAGUUGUAAAUAAAUAGAAGUGUGAUGAUCAUCAUUUAAUAGAGCAUUGUCCCAAAAAAAGAGAAAGGCCAAAAAAAAGAAGGCCCAAAAAAGAGAAAUAAAAAGGGACAAUGCUACUAUCCUUUUUUCCACACUUGUGUUUCAAAGUAGCACCAUAAUCUUCAUGAUAGAGAAUCUCUUGUUUUGUCACUUUCAUAUACUAUUGGGAAUUUUUCAUUAUAGAACUUGGCUUGUAUAUUCCAACAAUGGGCCUCCUCAAGUGCCCUAGGUCUUCGUGAGCAAGCAAGUUGGAUGCACACCCACUUAGUUUGUUUUGUUGAGCUUUUAUAUAUUUAUAGCUCUAGUGCAUCCGUUGCAUGGCAAUCCCUACUCCUCGCAUUAACAUCAAUCGAUGGGCAUCUCCAUAGCUCAUUGCUUAGCCUCAUUGAUGUGAGACUUUCUCCUUUUUUGUCUUCUCCACAUAACCCCCAUCAUUAUACUCUAUUCCACCCAUAGUGCUAUAUCCAUGGCUCACGCUCAUGUAUUGCGUGAAGGUUUAUAAAGUUUGAGAUUACUAAAGUAUGAAACAAUUGCUUGGCUUGUCAUCGGGGUUGUGCAUGACGAGAGCAUUCUUCUGUGACGAAAAUGGAGCAUGACUAAACUACAUGAUUUUGUAGGGAUGAACUUUCUUUGGCCAUGUUAUUUUGAGAAGACAUAAUUGCUUAGUUAGUAUGCUUGAAGUAUUAUUAUUUCUAUGUCAAUAUUGAACUUUUGUCUUGAAUCUUUCGGAUCUGAAUAUUCAUACCACAAUUAAGAAGAAUUACAUUGAAAUUAUGCCUAGUAGCACUCCGCAUCAAAAAUUCUGUUUUUAUCAUUUACCUACUCGAGGACAAGUAGGAAUUAAGCUUGGGGAUGCUUGAUAAGUCUCCUACGUAUCUAUAAUUUUUUAUUGCUCCAUGCUAUAUUAUCUUCUGUUUUGGACAUUAUUGGGCUUUAUUAUUCACUUUUAUAUUAUUUUUGGGACUAACCUAUUAACCGGAGGCCCAGCCUAGAAUUGUUGUUUUUUGCCUAUUUCAGAGUUUCGCAGAAAAAGAAUAUCAAACGGAGUCCAAACGGAAUGAAACCUUCGGGAACGUGAUUUUUGGAACGAACAUGAUCCAGGAGACUUGGACCCUAAGUGAAGGAAGCUUCGAGUAAGCCACGAGGAAGGGGCGCGCCUACCCCCCCAGGCGUGCCCUCCACCCUCGUGGGCCCCACGUUGCUCCACCGACGUACUCCUUGCUCCUAUAUAUACCUACGUACCCCCAAACGAUCAGAUACGGAGCCAAAAACCUAAUUCCACCGCCGCAACCUUCUGUACCCAUGAGAUCCCAUCUUGGGGCCUGUUCCGGAGCUCCGCCGGAGGGGGCAUCGAUCACGGAGGGCUUGUACAUCAACACCAUAGCCCCUCCGAUGAAGUGUGAGUAGUUUACCUCAGACCUUCGGGUCCAUAGUUAGUAGCUAGAUGGCUUCUUCUCUCUUUUUGGAUCUCAAUAGAAUGUUCUCCCCCUCUCUCAUGGAGAUCUAUUCGAUGUAAUCUUCUUUUGCGGUGUGUUUGUUGAGACCGAUGAAUUGUGGGUUUAUGAUCAAGUUUAUCUAUGAACAAUAUUUGAAUCUUCUGAAUUCUUUUAUGUAUGAUUGGUUAUCUUUGCAAGUCUCUUCGAAUUAUCAGUUUGGUUUGGCCUACUAGAUUGAUCUUCCUUGCAAUGGCAGAAGUGCUUAGCUUUGGGUUCAAUCUUGCGGUGUCCUUUCCCAGUGACAGCAGGGGCAGCAAGGCACGUAUUGUAUUGUUGCCAUUGAGGAUAAUAAGAUGUUUUUUUAUCAUAUUGCAUGAAUUUAUCCCUCUACAUCAUGUCAUCUUGCUUAAGGCGUUACUCUGUUCUUAUGAACUUAAUACUCUAGAUGCAUGCUGGAUAGCGGUCGAUGUGUGGAGUAAUAUUAGUAGAUGCAGGCAGGAGUCGGUCUACUUGUCUCGGACGUGAUGCCUAUAUACAUGAUCAUACCUAGAUAUUCUCAUAACUAUGCUCAAUUCUGUCAAUUGCUCAACAGUAAUUUGUUCACCCACCGUAAAAUACUUAUGCUCUCGAGAGAAGCCACUAGUGAAACCUAUGGCCCCCCGGUCUAUCUUCAUCAUAUUAAUCUUCCAACACAUAGUUAUUUCCUUUGCUUUUUAGUUUGCUUUUAUUUUACUUUGCAUCUUUAUCAUAAAAAUACCAAAAAUAUUAUCCUAUCAUAUCUAUCAGAUCUCACUCUCGUAAGUGACCGUGUAGGGAUUGACAACCCCUUAUCGCGUUGGUUGCGAGGAUUUAUUUGUUUUGUGUAGGUGCGAGGGACUCGCGUGUAGCCUCCUACUGGAUUGAUACCUUGGUUCUCAACAACUGAGGGAAAUACUUACGCUAAAUUGCUGCAUCACCCUUUCCUCUUUCAAGGGAAAACCAACGCAGUGCUCCAGAGGUAGAAGUAAUCUGUGAAGAAUACAUGCUCAUGGAAUAAAUCAUCGGCCUUGAAGUUUUGCUUCUUGGGGAAGGGAUUCUUCGGCUUGGGCAGAGGAGUGUCAAUCAAAGUCAUCACAGCCUCAGGAAUCACAUUCUCAGGAGCUACAGGCUGAGGAAUUUCAGUUUCUGCUUCAGUAGCAGCCUGGGUCUUCAAUUCUUCAUCAACAUUAACAUCAGCACUAGUGGCUAGAAUUUCUUUAGGAAUGGAAGGAGUGGUGUGGUGUUCUUCAGAACCCGUUUGAACUUCAGUGUGCACUAGGGACUGAGGAAUUUGUUGCAGUGGCUUGAACAAAGGAGAGUUGGGGUGCUGACUUUCCCAAAAGUCAUCAUUCAUCAUAGGCGUGGUGCUCACAAUGUCCACAUCUUCAUCUUCUUCACUUAAUUCUUCAACGCCUGCCUCUUCAGCUGUGAACUGAGGCACUGGCGAUGAAGCAACUGGAGUUGAAGGGAUAUCAUCCACUUCAAUGACUUUGCCCAACUGCUCUGAAGAAGUAGCAGAAGGAACGACUUCAUCCGAUCCGCUUGGGAUCUCAUAAUCUUCACCAAAAGGAACGAGUUCUUUUGAUGGCAUACUGGAGAUAGGAACAGCAUCAAUGGGAUUCUCAAAAGAUCUUGUCAAUGUCUUUUCGAGGCUGAAGAAUCUGAUGAAGUUGAUGCUUUCCUUUUCUUCACUACUGCUCGCUCCACAACCUUGGUUUUCUUCGCUUCUGAUGCAGAAGGAAGAACUGGACUUGGUGUUGGUGCAGGAGGAGUAGAGGAAAUUGGUAGAUUUACCUCAAGCACAACUGAUGCAGUUGGCCUGGUUUGUUCAGUUUCUUCAGGCUCAUUGGUUGAUGGCACAGCUGGCCUGGAUUGUUCCUCAGGUGCAACACUAGUGGUUGCCCUGCCAAUUUCAUCAGCGGCUGGAAUGGAGUCAUCAGCCCUGGUACUAGCAGCUUCAUCAGCAGCCUGAUUUUCAUCAGCGGUGCUGGCAUGUUCUUCAGUGGGCUGAGCAAAUGCUUCACCCUGAGGAGAUUCAGUUCUUCAAGUGAAUUUUGAAGUUAACUUCACAAAUCUAACUUUGGCUACAAGCCAGUCAGCAUAAUAGCGAUCGAAUUCAUCACUGACAUUUAUGAUAUCUGAUUGAAGAGCUACAAGUUCAUCAGUUGUCAUAUUGACAACAUUUUUCUUCAGAAGGCGCUCCUUCUUGUAUUGGGUUUUAUUCAGUUGCCUGGCCUUCUCAUAUUUCCAUUUUUCUUCUCCAAUGAAGGCAGUCAACAUAUGACUUUGACCAGGAGUGAGGUUCAUCUCAGGCAAGGGUGUGUUGGGGUCCUUAUGCCAUAGGUCGAUGAAGUCGAGGAUCAACUUUGGAUCCAGCAUCAAUGGCACAUUGCUGACUUUGGCUGUAGCAGCCCUCUGUUGUCUGUCUCUGAUGAUUUCGGCGAGUUCCUCAUCAUUAGCUUCGUCAUCACUGGAAGGUACUUGGAAGGCGACUUGCUUCUUGUGAGGACUUGGUCUAGUGUCUCGUCCAGCAGUGGCCUUGGUCUUCAGCGGAGUGGGGCCUGUUGAGGAAUGCGGAGGAGCUGAAGAACUUGCAGAGGCUGUUGAGGCAAUUGAUUUGCCUAUGGUCCUUUGACACGAGGCAAGAUGCACAGGUGCUGAGGACUUUGCCGGAGGAGCUGAGGACUUUGGAGGAGUAGGAGCAACAUGAGGAAUUUUCUGUGAGGGCUUUGCAGAGUUGGGCCGUGAGGGCAUUUCUGAGGUGCUUGGCUGUGAGGGAAUUGAAGCAGAAGCACUGGGCUUGUGUGUAGGCUUCUUGGGCAUAGCCUUCUUAGGCUUGCUAGCAGAGGCCUCAGCAGUGGCAGCAGCAGAAUCUUCAUUGAAUUUAUUUACUGCCUCUUUUGCCAUUUUGGCCAGCUUAGCUUGACGCUUGGCCCACUCCUUGGGGAAAUCCUCACCUCUUCUGAUGCUAGAGGGGUCAGCUACUUGGCCUGGUGCUAAUGGAGGUCUUGGGCAUGGACGGUGUACAACGAAUUUCUUCAUGUACUUUGGAGUGACAUAACGAUAUUCCCUCCAUUCUCUAGCCCAUCUCCUCUCUAUCCUCUGAAUGUGCACUUUACGCUCAUUCUUUGUCUCAUGAGGAGGAGUGCGGUACCCUGCAUAGAUUUCUUCAGGUAUCUCAAAAGCAUUGUUGACUUCCAAUUUCUUCCCUCCCUUUUGAGGUUUCUUGCCAUCAGACAUUUUCUUCAGCCGAAGAUUCUGAACAAUUGAGUUCUCUGAUGAGGUAUGUAACUUUUCUUCGAGGAACACUGCAAAUGAGUUAAGUUGAUGAGAACCUAGUGAUUCAGCAGCGGACAUGUGUACCUAUGAACAGAGUAUAGGUGCGAAGAAUUUGGAGAGGUCAUAUGCGUUCUCAGAAUUUUUUGCAAAAAGAACAAAUUUGAGGAAUUUGACCAGAUGUGUCCUGAGGAAUUUCAGUAAGCGUUCUUUGACUUAGGUUCCAGAGUUGUAUAGAUUGAAAAUCCACACGAUUGAGGAAUCUUGAAGAAAAAUGUUGCUUAGGGAAACAGAUCAAGAAUAGAUGUUUGUGUGAGGUGUUUAGAGUGUGAAGAUUGAAGAAUAAACACCUUUUGAAGAUUUGUCGAAAUCAAUGGAAUCGACAAGGGCAGUAAAAGUAACACGACGAACUAUGAAUAGUAGAUUUGAAGCUCGUCGGUUCAGAUCUUCCACGCCCUAACUUGGCAGAGGAAGAUAGCUAUGGUAGCGGCGGGGUGAAGAAAUCUGCGGCCGGCGCGAGUACUGCUACCUCUUGAGCACUGCGUUGGUUUUCCCUUGAAGAGGAAAGGGUGAUGCAGCAAAGUAGCAUAAGUAUUUCCCUUAGUUUUUGAGAACCAAGGUAUCAAUCUAGUAGGAGACUACACGCAACUCACCUCGUACCUACAGAAACAAAUAAGAACCUUGCAACCAACGCGAUAACGGGGUUGUCAAUCCCUUCACGACCGCUUGCAAAAGUGAGAUGUGAUAGAGAUAAUAAGAUAAAUAUUUUUGGUAUUUUUAUGACAUAGUUUGAAAGUAAAGAUUGCAAAGUAAAAAUAGAUUGGAAACUUAUAUGAUGGAAAAUAGACCCGGGGGCCAUAGGUUUCACUAGUGGCUUCUCUCAAGAUAGCAUAAGUAUUAGCGGUGGGUGAACAAAUUACUGUCGAGCAAUUGAUAGAAAAGUGCGUAGUUAUGAGAAUAUCUAGGCAUGAUCAUGUAUAUAGGCAUCACGUCUGCGACAAGUAGACCGAAGCGAUUCUGCAUCUACUACUAUUACUCCAUGCAUUAGGCAAGAUGACAUGAUGUAGAGGGAUAAACUCAAGCAAUAUGAUAUAAACCUCAUCUUUUUAUCCUCGAUGGCAACAAUACAAUACAGGCCUUGCUGCCCCUGCUGUCAUUGGGAAAGGACACCGCAAGAUUGAACCCAAAGCAAAGCACUUCUGCCAUUGCAAGAAAUAUCAAUCUCGUAGGCCAAACCAAACUGAUAAUUCGAAGAGAGUUGCAAAGAUAACAAAUCAUACAUAAAAGAAUUCAGAAGAGAUUCAAAUAUUGUUCAUAGAUAAUCUUGAUCAUAAACCCACAAUUCAUCGGAUCUCGACAAACACACUACAAAAAGAAUUACAUUGAAUAGAUCUCCAAGAAGAUCGAGGAAAACUUUGUAUUGAGAUCGAAAGAGAGAGAAGAAGCCAUCUAGCUAAUAACUAUGGACCCGAAGGUCUGUGGUAAACUACUCACACAUCAUCGGAGAGGCUAUGGUGUUGAUGUAGAAGCCCUCCGUGAUCGAUUCCCCCUCCGGCGGAGUGCCGGAAAAGGCCCCAAGAUGGGAUCUCACAGGUACAGAAGGUUGUGGCGGUGGAAAUAGGGUUUCGUGGUGCUCCUGGAUGUUUUUGGAGUAUAUGGGUAUAUAUAGGAGGAAGAAGUAGGUCGGUGGAGCUGCGAGGGGCCCACGAGGGUGGGGGCACGCCCAGUGGGGCAGGCGCGCCUCCCUGCCUCGUGGCUUCCCCGCUUCUUUCUUGACGUCCACUCCAAGUCCUCUGGAUCACGUUUGUUCCAAAAAUAACUCUCCCGAAGGUUUCAUUCCGUUUGGACUCCGUUUGAUAUUCCUUUUCUGCGAAACACUGAAAUAGACAAAAAAACAACAAUUUGCACUGGGCCUUCGGUUAAUAGGUUAGUCCCAAAAAUAAUAUAAAAGUGCUUAGUAAAGCCCAUUAAACAUCCAAAACAGAUAAUAUAAUAGCAUGGAACAAUCAAAAAUUAUAGAUACGUUGGAGACGUAUCAAGUACGACGGCGACGAGGUCGAGGCAGCGAAGCUCUUCCUCAUCGGUGACUAUGGAAGUAGCGGCGGCGCUAGGUUUUAAGAGCUCGAGCGAGGGAGUGAGGUCGAGCGGAGUAAAAAACAGUGUGAGGAGGAUGAGGGGUAUUUAUAGUCAAGGUGAAAAACCGCUCGCCCAAGGAAUAUGGACGAACGUGCCCCUAACCCUUCUCAUUCGUGCGACAUGUGUCACCCACGUACAGAGAGGUGGAGAUCGUGGGUGAAUAGGAUAAUCAUAUCUUGGAAUGUGGAACGGUUUGAGUGGCAAAAGCCAACAAUUCAGAUUAAAAUAUUUUAAGGUUUCGUUCGCAAAUUCUUCAGCUUACAAGGACACAGUGAAGAUUUUGAACGGGUUUCAAAUAGACCGCGGAUGAAGAAUUUGUGAACAGACUGGGUUAAGUUUAGCAUAGAGGGGGAAGGGUCCGAUCACAUUCACUUAGCAGAAAAAGCAACUUGAGGAAUUAGCAAUAAGUGAAUGUUGUAGACGACAUAAACUCAUAUAUAUAUAUAUAUUUAUAUAGCCAAUGAAGGAAAAUGAUGGAAAGAGAGAAGACAAUGCAAAGUUGAAGAUAUUGAACAACUGAGGAAAUACAAAAAAAAACUCAAAUUGAAGAUUUUCAACUUUUGUUGGUGGCGUGACCCACCGUAUAAGAAUGCUGAUUUCAGACGUCGCGUACAAUUGUCGUAGGGCUCUAAGAAUCAAAUUCUUUGUUAAUUUCUUCACACUUAGAGUGUUAGUCUUCAUUGAUUGAAGAAAAACGUUACUUUGUGUGUUGCACAUCUAAGUCAUCAAUUUUGCAUAAGUGUUAGGAUGUGUGUCCUAUUCAAAGGACAUUCGAAGAUUCUAAGAUAUUUAGCUCACACCGCAACCCGCAACUUGCUAAAUCUCUUCUCAUCCAAGGGCUUUGUGAAGAUAUCGGCUAGCUGUUCUUCAGUCUUCAUGUGCUCGAUAGAGAUGUCGCCCUUCAACACAUGAUCACGAAGAAAAUGAUGACAAAUCUGAAUGUGCUUUGUCUUCGAGUGCUGAACUGGGUUAUGACCAAUCUUGAUGGCACUCUCAUUGUCACAAUAGAGUGGCACAUUCUUCACAUUGACACCGUAGUCCUUGAGGGUUUGCUUCAUCCAUAGCAAUUGAGCACAGCAUGAACCAACAGCAAUGUACUCAGGUUCAAUAGUAGAGAGUGAUACGCAGUUAUGUUUCUUCGAGGACCAACAGACUAAGGAUCGUCCGAGGAAAUGGCAUGUGCCUAAUGUUGACUUACGGUCCACAUGAUCACCAGCAUAGUCAGAGUCUGAAUAUCCAAUGAGAUCAAAAGCCAAGCCCUUGGGAUACCAUAAUCCAUGUGUUGGAGUGUGAGCUAGAUAUCGAAGAAUAUGCUUCACAGCCUUAUGGUGUGAUUCCUUCGGUGUAGCUUGAAAACGGGAACACAUGCAAACACUAAGCAUAAUAUCCAACCUAGAUGCACAUAAAUACAAUAAAGAGCCAAUCAUGGAGCGGUAUACCUUUUGAUCAAAGUCAAUACCAUUUUCAUCAGUGCAUAGAUGGCCAUUUGUGGGCAUAGGGAUUUUGACGCCUUUGCAAUCUUGCAUGCUGAAUUUCCUCAAAUACUUCCUUGAGGUAUUUCUCCUGAGAUAUGAAUAUGCCAUUGCGCUGUUGACGAAUCUAAAGACCUAAGAAGAAUUUCAAUUCUCCCAUCAUAGACAUUUGAUAUUCUUCACUCAUCAUAUAGGCAAAUUCAUCACUGUAACGUUGGUCAGUACAGCCAAAGAUGAUAUCAUCAACAUAUAUUUGACACACGAAUAGUUCAUCAUCAUAAGUUUUGGUGGAAAGAGCUGGAUCAAGUGAACCGGGUUUGAAGCCUUUCUUCAUGAGGAAUUCCUUCAAAGUAUCAUACCACACCCGAGGGGCCUGCUUGAGGUCAUAGAGGGCUUUAUUGUGUCUGAAGACUUUGUCAGGAUGCUUUGGACCUUCAAAACCUGGAGCUUGAGCAACAUAUACUUCUUCCUCAAGCUUACCAUUGAGGAAUGCACUUUUCACAUCCAUUUGAUAUAAGAUGAUAUUAUGAUGGUUAGCAUAAGCAAGUAAUAUGUGAAUAGCCUCAAGUCUAGCAACAGGUGCAAAAGUUUCAUCGAAAUCAAUUCCUUCAACCUAUGUGUAGCCUUGAGCUACAAGCCGUGCCUUAUUCCUCACCACAAGGACAUUUUCAUCUUGCUUGUUGCGGUAGAUCCACUUUGUGCCAAUGAUAUUGUGCUUGCGAGGGUCUGGUCGCUUGACAAGCUCCCAGAUGUUGUUGAGCUCGAAUUGAUGCAAUUUUUCUUGCAUAGCUUGAAUCCACUCAGGCUCUAGAAAUGCUUCAUCUACCUUAGUGCGCUCUGUGAUAGAGACGAAAGCAAAGUGCCCACAAAAGUUAGACAAAUGUGAAGCUUUUGAGCGUGUGAGAGGACCUGGUGCGUUGAUGUUGCUGAUGAUUUUCUCAAUCUGCACUUCAUUUGCAACGCGAGGAUGAGCUGGUUGGCGACGAGAAAUUGGAUCAGCAUUUUCUUCAGAACCAUUUUCCUCAGGUGCACCAGCAUGAUGUUCUUCACGGUCUGGAAUAACUUCUUCACCAGAUUCUUUGGUAGGAAUGACAUCCUCAUGAGCGUUAAACUUGAUGGUUUCCUUAGGAUACUGUUCAUCUAGCACAGGAGGUAGGUGCUCUCUUUGCGAGCCAUUAGUUUCAUCGAACCGCACAUCUACAGUUUCAACAACCUUGUGGUGAACGGUGUUGAAGACUCUGUAGGUGCGCGAGUCCUUUCCGUAACCAAGCAUAAAACCUUCAUGUGCUUUCGGUGCAAAUUUAGAAUUGUGAUGAGGAUCUCUAAUCCAACAUUUAGCACCGAAGACUUUGAAAUAACUCACAUUGGGUUUCUUGUCAGUGAGGAGUUCAUAUGCAGUCUUCUUGAAGAAUUUGUGAAGAUAUGCCCUGUUGAUGAUGUGGCACGCAGUAUCAAUUGCCUUAGUCCAGAAAUGACAAGGUGUCUUGUAUUCAUCAAGCAUAGUGCGAGUCAUCUCAACAAGAGUCAUGUUCUUGCGCUCCACGAUGCCAUUCUGCUGAGGAGUAUAAGGAGUAGAUAACUCAUGAGUAAUACCAAGUUCAUCAAGGUAGUCAUCAAGACCAGUAUUCUUGAACUCAGUUCCAUUUUCACUUCUGAUGUGCUUGAUCUUCACACCAAAGUUGGUUGAAGCCCUUGAGGAAAAUUGUUUGAAGACUUCCUGCACUUCACGUUUGUAAGUGACAAUAUGUACCCAUGUGUAACGAGAGUAAUCAUCAACAAUAACAAAGCCAUAUAGAGAAGCUUCAUUGGUAAAUGCAGAAUAAUGGUUAGGACCAAAGAGAUCCAUGUGAAGCAAUUCAAAUGGACGAGUGGUAGUCAUGAUAGUCUUUGCUGGAUGCUUGGCCUUGGUCAUCUUUCCAGCUUCACAAGCCCCGUACAAGUGAUCCUUGAGGAAUUUGACAUUCUCAAUGCCAAUGACAUGCUUCUUCUUCGCGAGCGUGUGCAAGUUCCUCAUGCCAGCAUGACCGAGUCGUCGAUGCCAUAGCCAGCCUUCUGAAGCUUUUGCAAGUAGGUAUAUAGCGGGUUGUGGUCCUGUAGAGAAAUCAACAAUAUACAUGUCUCCUCUCCUAAAGCCUUCGAAGACUUUGGAAUGGUCAGCUUCCAUGAUCACAACACAGGGAUACUUGCCAAAGAUAACAACCAUAUCAAGAUCACAAAGCAUUGAGACUGACAUGAGGUUGAAUCCUAAGGACUCAACAAGCAUGACUUUGUCCAUGUGUCGAUCCUUUGAGAUCGCAACCUUACCUAGGCCCAAUACCUUGAUUUUGCCUUUGUCAGUGUAGGUGAUAUGCUUCAGAUGCGAUGGAGAUAAGGGAGCGUCCAUCAAUAAGUUCUUGUCACCAGUCAUGUGAUUUGUACAUCCACUAUCAAGGACCCACUCAGUGGCUUUGGGUUGAUCAUCCUGCAGAUGAAUUAGUGCAGCUUACGAACUCAUAUACUUCAUCAGUGAAGAAUAUGACAUCAAUUUCAUCAGAUCAAUUUCAUCAAGAAUAGAACAGAUAAAGUAGUAUGAGGACGUGAGAAAUGAAAGUUCAUUUCUACAUGAUUAGCUUGCGUCCUUUCAAGCAUAUUCAUGUCUCCAGCAAACUCCUCAGACGUUUAAGUACGUCUAGAGACCUGACCCUGCAUAAGAGAUUAGUUCUUUUUCUUCACCACCCACAUCUGAAGGGGUGGCAAAGAGUUCAUCAUUCUGCGAGCUCCAUCAGAGAAAGGUGGCAUAGAAGCCAGUCCACUUUGCUUCACAUAAGAGGAGUUAGGGUAAGCAUAUGAAUAAGCAAAGAAAUUCUUCGAGGACUUAUGAACAUAAUGGUUAGAAGAAUAAUGCUCAUAUUCAUAGCCAUUAGAUCUUCCCUACGAAACAGAAGUGUUAGCAUGAUGAUGUUCAUAUGAGGAUUUUGAUCCACAUGAGGAAUUUGGUCCGUAUGACGACUUGGAUCCAUAUGAAGAAUUUGAUCUGGGGUUCCUAUUCUUCACAGGUGGUGUCAUGAUGACUUUCACCUGAAGACUUUCAAGGCACCUUUUGGGAACCCAGAUUUUCAUCAUAGGAGAACCGUUCCUGCAGUUAGUGACAAUAUAUCUAGCAAAUACUUCACCAUUCUGAUUUUUGAACAGCUUAUAGUUGGAGUCAAAUGACUCAUCAGAAGAAUGAGGAGAUUCACAUGUAAAGCCAGAUGAAGUAGAUGGAUCUACUGGAGAUCCCUUUGCAGCAACCCAUGAGGUUUUGGGAUACUGCUCGGGCUUCCAGUAUGUUCCAUCAGCAUUGAGUUUCCUCUCAAAGGCAAUACCCUCUUUCCUAGGGUUCCUGUUGAGGAUCUGCUUUUUAAGCACAUCACAAAGAGCCUGAUGCCCUUUGAGGCUUUUGUACAUGCCUGUCAUAUAAAAUUCCUUCAGCCCUGCAUUGUCGGUGAUACUAGCAAUAUCCUCAGAUGAGGAAUUAGUGAUAGCAGAGACAGGUGAAGAAUUUGCAGCAAUAUAAGCAUUUGAACUUUCAGGAGUGUGCAGUUGUGUGCUUUAUACAAGAAUAAAGUGAGACCUCUGUGAAGGUUUGGAUUAAUCGAUAGAUUUCCGUGUUAGUUAUCUGCUCGAUCACUUUCUUUGUCACUUUUCCAAAUGAGUUCACACGCCGGGCAUGCCAUACGAACGCACCGCCGCCACGUAUAGCACAGAUGUUGGUGUCCGGGAAGUAAAUUACUCAAAACCACCAUAUUGGUCAGGGUACUCUAAAACUAUCGGUUUUGUCAAAAAUCACAAAAACCCACCAACUCUACGGUAAGUGAGUAAUAAAUCGCACUGAUUCUCUUAUUUGGUCGUUAUAACAGCAAAACUAACAACUGGGACCCGCCUGUUGGGCUGACAUGGCAUACGCCUGUGGACACUACACUGAGGUGGAUAUGGGUCCCACCUGUCAAUCGCUCAAUGGUUAUCUUCCUCCUUCACCUCCCCCAUGGGGCAUUUCAUCGAGUAGCUUUCGGGCGCCACGGCCGCGUGUUGCUCGCGUUGGCUGCUGCUGGAGGCCCGCCAAGCUGCGCGCCAUCAGCGCCUUAGUGUGGGUGCACCGGCAAGGCGGCAGAAGAAGCCGCGACCUGCCACAGCAGGGCCGCCGAGGGCCGCCACACCACGCCUCGCACUCCUCCAGUUGUUGCCCGUACAUAGGCGGGCAAUGGGCUAUUGCCCGAGAUGCGGACGGAGCUGGCCACACCCUCCCCUUACGCGGUGCCCUAGGGAGGAGCGGUGGCACCUGUGCACAUGGCAGGUGGCCAGGCAUCAAUUUUCGGCACACGUCCGAGCCGACGGUGCUCAAGGUCACGGCCACGGAUGCCUCGCGGGCUGGCUGGGGCGGUCACGCGGAAGACGAGGGACAGCGCAUCAAGGUCGUCGGGGCCAUGCCGGCACGGGCGACGAGUGGCCUGAGCAGGAGCCCUGGUGGCGGUCGGCUGCAGCGGCGACGCGCAGGCGAGCUCGAGCAAGGGGAGAGAGAAGGAAGGAGGAGGCAUAGGGGAAUAGGACGGCGAACAAUGUCCCUUGUGGUCGGUGGCGGCGGCUCCUCUCGGGACAUGGGCAAGGGCACGGGCUGGCUAGGGUUUGAGGCCACCGGAGCAUAUUAGAGGCGAGGAAGAAGGAGAAGAGGGGGAAAUAAUAUGUGGCUGACAGGUGGGACCUGUCCACCCCAGCAGGUCAACACAUUGACUAGGACUAGUCUUUGCCACAUCAGCCCGACAGACAGGCCCCACCCAUUAGUUUCGCUGUUAGACACGGCUCAGUUCCGAAUUAGUGCGAUUUGUUACUUGCGCAGAGGUGAUGGUAUUUUGUGAUUUUUGCAAAAGCGGUGGUUUUGGAAUAUUCUAAUCACAAAUGUGGUGGUUUUAAGCAAUUUAGUCGUGUCCGGGACAUGCCUUCCUCAUGGGGGUGGGGAGAUCAAAGCACUGUCACUUUUUGGGUUAGGCUUCUUUUAUAAAAAAACUUUCAUAAUUUUGUUUGUCACAUAUACCUACAAUAUCAAUAGUUUUUUGUUCCAAAAAACCCAAAUGACCGAGUGAUUAACAUUUGCUCAGGGUUAUGACAGUAGGGGCCUACACGUAAGAGAACAUUAUUUUACCGUGAACUUACUUAUGGAGCCCACAUAUCAGUGUCUUUUCCUCAUAUUCUAAUAAAAAAGAAUUCAUGUACUCCCUCUGCCCCAUAAUGUAAGACAUUUUUUGACACUGGUGUAGUGUUAAAAAACAUAUUAUAUUAUGGAAGUGAGGGAGUAAAAAAUUGCUUCAAUCCUCCUAUUCUUUUAUAAAUUUACAAAUAUGUCCUCCUUUUUCUAUAGAAUAAAAAGCAAUCAAGUCUAUACAUUGGUAUCUCUUUCUUCCUCCACAAGAAAAGCUCUUCAACUCCCGUCAGCGCUACCGCCGGUCCGCCCCAUCUCCCAUGACCUCUAGGCCAUGGAAGUGCAGAGGAUCUCGGCCCCCCACUCGCGGGAGGGGCAUCGUUCCCGUUCUUGUUAGGUUCAGCGUCUUGGUUGGGGUUGUGUGGCAACGAUGUCCCUUAGUAGGAAUAAUGUAUCCCACUCUCUAUCCCCGUCCGAUGGUGCGUCUAGCAUCAUGGGAGGGCGUGUGGAGGUGUGUCUCCGUCAGAUCUCGUGGGAUUCGGUCGGUGCUGGUCUUUGGUGGAUCUGUUUGGAUUCGGUCUUCGUUCGUCUUUGUUUGGAUGUUUACAUGCUUGAUCCUUCUAAUCUACGACUUCCUUUAUCGUCGAUGGUUGCUACUCUGGUGCGCUGGUCCUAUGGGACCUUAGCACAUCCCGACUGUCUACUACAACAAGAUUUGCCUAACUCUGGUGACAGAUGGGCGAUGACGGCGGUGCGCCUUCGGCUCGCUUCAGUGCUUGUAGUCGUCGCUAGGUGGUCCUCGGACAUGGUUGUAAUUCUUAUUAUCUCUGUUGUUUUUUGUACUAUCAUGAUUGAAGAUGAACAUAUUGAAAGUUUCUCAAAAGAAGCAAUCAGGUCCUAGCAAACAUUUUUAAAAAGCAAUCGGGGCCCCAUGAUAACGGUGACAGGCGGCGCGACACCGUCGCCGCACGUUGCUCCCUCCUCACCCGCUCCGGCCCUCCACCUUAGAGCAUCUCCAAUCGUUGUGCCCCCCAGGAGGCAUUUUUUCAGCCUCCUGGGGUUGCCCCGGCGGAAUUUUUGCACUGGGGAGAAGAAUUUUUCCAGCCGUCCCCCCACCCAGCCGACGUUGGAGGCCGCCGUCGAAGAACCCACUGCGCACGUGCCCAUCGAGCUCGAUUUCCGCCCCCACCGAGCUCGACCGCCACCGCUCAGUCCUCGUGCCCGGCGUGCCCAGUGAGGACCCCGGCGAGCGUAUUCAUAUACAGGUCGAGGCGCACCAGCGCCUUAAACCCGGCGACGGCCUUGGCGGCGAUGUCAGAGGGGAAGGAGCCUUUGAAGUUGGUGUUGGGGAGCGAGACCUCCGUGAGGGCGCCGUCGACGCAAGAGACGCUCGUCCAGCCGCAAGGCGUGGCGUCGCGGGGGUCCCUGUCCGUGAGCGCGGAGCCGGUGAAUGCGUGCUUGGCGUCGAGUAGGUAAAAGCCGUCCUGGUUGAGCCCGAGCGACGGGGCAACCAGCAACCCGGCAUUGUCUGUGACGAGGAGCAGCAGGAGGGGGAGGAAGGCUACCAUGGUGGCCUCGGCUGCGUCGGCGGUGGGACUUUGGUUGGGCGCGCUCGAGGCGUGUCAGGGGUCAGACGAAGGACGGUGACAUGGGCGUCGGCAUUGGUGACUGCAGCGCCAAGUCCCAAGGCGUUCACAGCCUCAAGGUGGUCCGGAUCCGUCCUCCGAUGCCGAAUCUAAGUGAUACGCGUCUGUUUUCGUUGUCGGAGUCCAAGUCCCGUGCCGCUGUCGCCGCCGCUCGCUGCAUCCGUGUCGCCCGCCCGUGUCCUCUGCUUCGAGCAGGCGGGGAUGCGGCGAGCAGGCAGGGAGGUGGCAAGCAAGGCGGUGAGCAGGGAGGCAGGCGCGCGGCGAGGAUGAGAGCAGUGGCCGGGCGGUGUGCCAGGCAAGGCUUUCCUGCGCGGGCGUAGGAUUUGGUGGGGCGAGAAGGAAAAGAGAGAGCAUGCACGUGGGUGUGGCCCGGAGAAAAAGGGUGGAGAGAGGGAGUGGGAGGCUGACUAUGGGCCAAAUGACAUGCAAAAUCUUCUCUCUCCUCCCCCAAGUGCCCCGGUGGGCUGGGGCCUCGGAGCGCCGGCUCUAAUUUUGGCCAAAUCCGGCAAAAUGUGAGUCUUUGGGGUGAUGAGUGGGAAAGAAUUAACCGGCGCCCAAAACGUGGUCCUGGGGGGCGUCUGGAGAUGCUCUUACAUGCCUACCCCGCGGGUUGCGGACGUUGGCACGCCGUGGUGAUGACCUCUGCAACGUGCUCCAACGGGGAGGUGCAUGCAAUGGGACGGGCUUGCGCCGGCCAGGUUGGCCCGCGAUAUCUCCAGGAGCUCAACCUACGCAGGAAGUUUUUCAGCUUCGGGUGCUCAACAUGGAGAGGGAUGCACUGCGGGUGACUCAAGGAACGAGUCUUGGAUAGCAGCGAGAACUUCACCUCGGACUGCGGCCACUGAAGUAUCGCGCUCCAACGAUGCCGAGGGCGACUUGAGGCGCUUGACGCUAUCCUCCAACAUAGCUAGCGGGGCGUGGUCGCCCUACCACCGGAGAGCACCUGCCUCGGCGUGGGCAUUGUCAGUGUGGUGGGCGGAGUCGGGGAGUACCCGGCCGAGUCAGCCACCAUGGCGUAUUGGCGUGGUACUGGUGCAACACCGCCUCCACAGAUGUGUAAGCCGCCGCGAGCGCGUGCCAUUUCUGGCCAGCCAUGGCUCGUGCGAAGGAGAUCAAUGCAUAUUCCGGUGGGCUUGGACGCGAAGGGGGCUCCGGGCAGCCAUGGCUCAGCGGAGAGUGAGAGAUCAUGGCUCGGGGAAGAGAGAGAGAGAUCAGGAGUGGAGAUGGAGAGAAGAAAGAUAAGAGGAAGGAAGGCCCCAUAUGUAAGUCAACGAUCAAACAAAAUGGUCAAACAAACUGUUUGUUUAGGAGCGGGCUCAACCUAUCAUAAACCAGAUCAAGUUUAAAUCACAAUGUCCUUUAGUUUUUUUUUUCUGGGAAGGUCAUUUAGUUUUUUGAAAAAAAAAACCCACCAACCUGGUAGGUAUCCGCGACAAACAAAUAUGUGGUAGAUUUUUGGAAUUCCAGCUCGAAAAGUUGUAGUUUCUAUGCUAUUCACUUAAGCAUAUGCAACCGAACCGGGCAAUAGUGAGCCUUAAACAUCCUUGAAUAGUGACCGACCAUCUCUCAAAUGCUCACAUCCACAACCAUCCCCCUCAUAGAAAAUCCUCGGAUUCAUAUAAUGUCAUGCAACGUUAUGUAGUUCGUCUAGAUCAACACACACGUAACAUAGAGAGUGCAUACAUGUUAUCGGACUGCCAAAAAUUGACAUGUUUUACUAGCUAUGAAUUACAUGGCUAUAGAGGAAGUACACCCACGACGAACCUUUUCCUUGCCCUUGCCCUUGUCGUCUUCAUCGUGGAAGUAGCAAUUGAAGACACAAUAUGGAUCGAGUCGAAUCUGCUCACCCCAGAGUUGUCUGAUCGUCACCGACCACCUCCUCCCCCUCUUUAGGCUACAGUCCUGCGAGGUCACAGACCACCCAGGUUUGCUAUAAAGUCGACACAUUGACAAAGCUUUUAGAAGAAAUUAUCAACGUCAAAAAUACUGAAGAAAAUUUAUCAACAUCCAAAAUACUAAAGAAAAAUUAUUACUGAGCUCGUAUUUUGAGUUGCUUGAGUUGACGCCAAUGAGGUGACGGCUUGAGCACUGCAGAGAUCUGGUACUCCUACGCACCCUAGAAAACAAGAUCUUCUAUUGGCUUGCUUCUAAAGAUCGCUUGUGGACGGCCAACAGACUCGCCCGAACUGUCGCACACCGGACAAUGCCAGGGCGAUAAAGAUGCCCUGCACAGGCUGAUCCGAUGUCCAUUCGUGAGGGAAGUUUGGUACCAAAUUUCCUCCCCCUACGUUUGCACCGCUUCACCCCGUCGACAACAUGCCCUAUCUCGGAUUGGUGGCCCGCACGGAGCGCAGCAGUGUCGCGCUUGCUGUGGAAAGAGCUCAACACGAUCGUUUUCCCUACCAUGCGGUUCAUCUGGCUAGAACGCAAUAACAGGGUGUUUGGCCGUAAAUCCUCGUUCCCGGUCAUUGUUGUGGGUUGAUCAAGGCGGAUCUUGCACUUUGGCGACUAGCACAUGUCAACGGGGGGCCAACAUUUAAGUAUAUUGAGUGUGGACAGUGGGGUUGGGUUGGAGUUCGCAUGUGACCUCCAUCCUUGUAAUUAUCUGUGAACGUUGUUCUUUCUUAUCUUAAUGGAAAAGGCAAGACAACGAUCCUGCUAAAUGGCACCCAGGGACAAUGGAUCAACUGUAAGAAUGGUCUCCACAGGGUGACCCUCUUUUCCCUUACCUCUUUAUAAUUAUCGCAGACCUUCUUCAAUGUUUAAUCAUUCAGGCUUUCUCUUCCAACCAGCUAUGCCACCCAAUCUACACUAAUCGUCCUCCGGCUGUGCUUCAAUACGCUGACGACACUCUAAUCAUUGCCCAUGCUUCUACCAAAGCGCGGCCACUCUCAAAGAUAUCCUUGACAAGUUCGCCCUUGCUACCGGCUUGACCAUAAACUUCCAGAAAACCACCUCCAUGCCCAUCAACACGGACCCCAGUACUAACCAUAACAUCGCCCUAAAUUUUUGUUGCGAGCUCUCCUCCUUCCCACAAAUUUAUCUAGGUCUCCCUCUUUCUCACACAUGCUUCCCGUCCUCUGCCUUUGAACCCAUCAUUCAGCGCUUCCUAAAAUACCUCUCUGGUUGGGCGUCCAAGAUUCUCUCUCGCGGAACUUGACUCACCCUUCUCUCAUCCACUCUCGACGACCUCUCCACUCACUUCAUGUUUGUCUUUAGACUCCCCAAGAAGAUUAUCAAAAGGUUAGACGUUAUCUGUAGAUCUUUCUUCUGGUCUGCGGAGGAAAAUUGCUCCGGGGCUAAUGCCUUAUCGCGUGGAAAAUUGUUUGCAAACCAAAACUGGCUAGUGGUCUUGGGCUCAAAAACCUGCUUCUCCAAAACGACCGCCUCCUCAUGAAGAUUGCUUUCAAACUUCUCCAAAAACCAGACCUCCCUUGGGUUAAUUGGGUCUUCCAACACCACUCUCUUGACUUCACGUUUAAACCUCACAACCCCUCCUACGUUUGGAAAAUCGUUAACCACCAAAUCCCCCCCCCCUUCAAAAAAUCCCAUUCGUCCUUACCAACAAUGGCACCUCCACCUUCUUUUGGCUCGACACUUGGCUUCUGUCCACUCCUCUCGCAAAAACCUAUCCCCAUAUUUCCACACACUCCACCUCACCCUCGGUCCUGGUAUCUCAUGUCAUGCAUGAUGGUGAUGGUUUACUCGCUAAUCUUCGGAACCGCCUAACCCUUGUAGCCUAUGUCGAGCUUAUGUCUGUUCUAUCCUUGUUGCAGGAUGUCACCACUAGUGACACGCCCGACGACAGGUUCCUCACCCACGGCUCCUCAUUCACCUCGAGGUGCGCCUACUCGCUGGUCUCCUCCAACCACCGGUUUGAUCUCAACACAGGGUACAUCUGGGGCUCCAAGGCACCUAUCAAGGUUAAGAUCUUCGGUUGGCUUCUCUGCCGUGACAGGCUUAGCACGAUGGUGAACCUACAUCACAAGACCAUUACCACUACUUUGAUUUGUCCUCGGUGCAACAACUCUUUUCAGGACGCGACACACCUCGCCAUACUCUGCCCAUGCGCGGCUCUGGUCUGGGCCCUCCUGGGCCUUCAGACACCUCACUCCAUCGACCUCGUCUGGGAUACUCCAACACCGGUUGGCCUCUACAUCAGCAUCUAGCCUACCGUCACUCUCGCCAUCAUCUGAAAGCUGUGGGACUCUAGGAACACCUGUGUUCUCCGCAACGACAUGAACUCCCCCUUCAUACUAUUCAAAACAUCGUUAUAGACUUUACGCUUUGGGCCUUUAGAUUUAAGGACCCCGUAAGCAGGGAGGUUGCCCUGUCUUGGCGCAUGUACCUCUUCUCUCGUUGUAAUCCUUAAUGUAACUUGCCUUCGGGCUUUUGAGUAAUAUAUUCAGGUGGGGAUCCUCUCCCUCUCGAUGAUUGUUCAAAAAUAAUAAUGAAAAAGGAAUGCAAAGCUCUUGCAUGCUCUUGAAAAAAAAGGUGAUGGUUUGUUAAUUUAACUCUAUAAUCACAUUAGAGUUAUUUAUAAAGUUGGGCCUGAGGUUUGACUUCCAAUUAAAUUAACCAAAAAAAUGAUAUGGUCAAAGAUAUGAUAUCUGAGUAUCAAACAAAUGGAUGGCUAAACAUAUUCGUGGUUGCAUGUUAGGUUUGAAGAUUGAAACAUCCACUUUGGCCCUCAUUAGGAACACUAGAAUACGGUGUGAAUCAAUUCAAUUUGGCAUGCCAAAUGGACCUAUCUAAUGCCUUCUCCAUUUCAUCAUUAAAACAAACAUAUAAGGUGUUUUAUAAUUUGUCAAGACAAAGAUCUGAUAAAGAUCUACCAUAAUAUGUAGCUUAUGUAAAUAUGUAAUACAAAACUAUAAUCAUAGUUAGCCAUAUGCUUUUGAAUAUAAGUCAAAUUAUAUAAAUUCUCCUCCACCAUAGACCCGGACUAGCUAAACUGAAGGCAUGCAAGCGCGUUGUCCAAUUGGCGAUGGAGCUCCAUGUCCGGAAGCUGGUCUUGGAAACUGACUGUCGGGUGGUGGCCGCCAAGCUCACUAUCACACAAAGGGAUUCAUCCAUCUAUGGGUUGUUGAUUGAGGAAGUCAAGGGGUUACUAUUAUCGCGUGAUGAUUUUAGGGUUAAGUUGGUUCCGCGUUCUGCCAACUCUGCGGCCCAUUUGUUAGCUAAGAAAGGUUGCAGGAAUAAAUUAUGCAAACUGGCUUCAUAUCCCUCCUGAUUGUAUUUUUGAAAUUUAAACUUGUAUUUAGCCGAUAACUUUGAAUAAAGAAGCAACACUUUUGGUUGUCAGAAAAAAGCAACACUUUCAACUUUAAAAAUAUUAUAUAAAUUCUAUAUCAUAGAAAGUAUAUAUUAAGAAAGUGGUUGUUUCUCAAAUCCUUGUGCCAACUAUGACAAGGAGACUAGUACUUGUAUGAAUUAGGCAUGCAUUUAGUCAAAAAUAUCUAAUGUUUCGUUUUGUGAUCCAGUGCGAGGAUACUUAGAGAAGCUCUAGCAGUGUCUAUAUAGUCGCAAUCGCUAUAAUAGCCAUCAAUAUAGUGAUUUUGGUCAAAAAUUGCACUUUAGCAGAGUCGUCAUAUAGCUCUCGGUCGCCAUAGUUUAUGGAGUUCGCUCCAUAAAUGACCUCGCAGCCUCCAUAUUUUGAGGCUAGGGAGGUCCAGUAUGGAGCAAUAGAUUUCGCCCUUGAUACGUCUCCAACGUAUCUAUAAUUUUUUAUUGUUCCAUGCUAUAUUAUAUUCUGUUUUGGACAUUAUUGGGCUUGAUUAUACACUUUUAUAUUAUUUUUGGGACUAACCAAUUAACCGGAGGCCCAGCCCAGAAUUGUUGUUUUUUGCCUAUUUUAGAGUUUCGCAGAAAAAGAAUAUCAAACGGAGUCCAAACGGAAUGAAACCUUCGGGAAUGUGAUUUUCGGAACGAACGUGAUCCAGAGGACUUGGACCCUACGUCAAGACAUCAACCAGGAGGGCACGAGGUAGGGGGCGCGCCUACCCCCCCCCCCCCCAGGCGCGCCUUCCACCCUCGUGGGCCCCCUGUUGCUCCACCGACGUACUCCUUCCUCCUAUAUAUACCUACGUACCCCCAAACUACCAGAUAUGGAGCCAAAAACCUAAUUGCACCGCCGCAACCUUCUGUACCCGUGAGAUCCCAUCUUGGGGCCUAUUCCGGAGCUCCGCCAGAGGGGGCAUCGAUCACGGAGGGCUUCUACAUCAACACCAUAGCCUCUCCGAUGAAGUGUGAGUAGUUUACCUCAGACCUUCGGGUCCAUAGUUAUUAGCUAGAUGGCUUCUUCUCUCUUUUUGGAUCUCAAUACAAUGUUCUCCCCCUCUCUCGUGGAGAUCUAUUCGAUGUAAUCUUAUUUUGUGGUGUGUUUGUUGAGACCGAUGAAUUGUGGGUUUAUGAUCAAGUUUAUCUAUGAACAAUAUUUGAAUCUUCUCUGAAUUCUUUUAUGUAUGAUUGGUUAUCUUUGCAAGUCUCUUCGAAUUAUCAGUUUGGUUUGGCCUACUAGAUUGAUCUUUCUUGCAAUGGGAGAAGUGCUUAGCUUUGGGUCCAAUCUUGCGGUGUCCUUUCCUGUGACAGUAGGGGCAGCAAGGCACGUAUUGUAUUGUUGCCAUCGAGGAUAACAAGAUGGGGUUUAUAUCAUAUUGCAUGAGUUUAUCCCUCUACAUCAUGUCAUCUUGCUUAAAGCGUUACUCUGUUCUUAUGAACUUAAUACUCUAGAUGCAUGCUGGAUAGCGGUUGAUGUGUGGAGUAACAGUAGUAGAUGCAGGCGGGAGUCAGUCUACUUGUCUCGGACGUGAUGCCUAUAUACAUGAUCAUACCUAGAUAUUCUCAUAACUAUGCUCAAUUCUGUCAAUUGCUCAACAGUAAUUUAUUCAACCACCGUAAAUACUUAUGCUCUUGAGAGAAGCCACUAGUGAAACCUAUGGCCCCCGGGUCUAUUUUCCAUCAUAUUAAUCUUCCAACACUUAGCUAUUUCUGGCGUCAUUUUUAUUUUACUUUCUUUACUUUGCAUCUUUAUCAUAAAAAUACCAAAAAUAUUAUCUUAUCAUAUCUAUCAGAUCUCACUCUCGUAAGUGACCGUGUAGGGAUUGACAACCCCUUAUCGCGUUGGUUGCAAGGAUUUAUUUGUUUGUGUAGGUGCGAGGGACUCAUGCAUGGCCUCCUACUGGAUUGAUACCUUGGUUCUCAAAAACUGAGGGAAAUACUUACGCUACUUUGCUGCAUCACCCUUUCCUCUUCAAGGGAAAACCAACGCAGUGCUCAAGAGGUAGCAAGAAGGAUUUCUGGCGCCGCUGCCGGGGAGUCUACGCAAAAGUCAACAUACCAAGUACCCAUCACAAACCCUUAUCUCCCGCAUUACAUUAUUUGCCAUUUGCCUCUCAUUUUCCUCUCCCCCACUUCACCUUUGCCGUUUUAUUCGCCCUCUCCUUUUUCCGUUCGCCUCUUUUACUGCUUGCUUCUUGUUUGCUCGUGUGUUGGAUUGCUUGCCUGUCUCGAUGGCUCUACCAAGAUUUGGUGAUCUGCACCUUAAAAGACUAGAAGAGAUCGAAAGCAACGUUAGGAGUUUCAUGAUCUUACAAUUUGAACAUAAUAAUUUCUGUAGAAACGAGCUUAAGGAACAAAAAAAGCUUUAUGAGUUAUAUGAAUAAAGAGCUCGAUGAUAUGUCUAAAGAAUUUGAUGGUUUGAGAUCCCAAAUUGCUCAUCUUGAGAAGUUAAUAGCUGAAAUAUCGGAUAAGCAGACCACCUUAGUUAAUAAGAUGGCCGCUAAGCCGGAAAACUUUGAAAAUAAAGAUGAAGAUCUAAAGGUUAUUGAUGUGUCCCCUAUUAAAUCUUUGUUUUGCAACAUGAAUCUUGAUAAUGACGGGACUGAAUAUUAUCCACCUUUACCUAGAAGGCGUUCCAGAAAUUCGGAUUUUUUAGAUCUUGAUGCUAAAAUUGAUAAAAGUGGGAUUGAAGAGAUCAAAACAUUAGAUAUUAAUGAACCCACUAUUUUGGAUUUCAAGGAAUUUAAUUAUGAUAAUUUCUCUUUGAUAGAUUGUAUUUCCUUGUUGCAAUCCGUGCUAAAUUCUCGUCAUGCUUAUAGUCAAAAUAAAGCCUUUACCAAACAUAUCGUUGAUGCUUUGAUGCAAUCUUAUGAAGAAAAACUUGAGUUGGAAGUUUCUAUCCCUAGAAAACUUUAUGAUGAGUGGGAACCUACUAUUAAAAUUAAGAUUAAAGAUCAUGAAUGCUAUGCUUUGUGUAAUUUGGGUGCUAGUGUUUCCAUGAUUCCAAAGACUUUGUGCGAUUUGCUAGGUUUCCAUGAUUUUAAUGAUUGCUCUUUAAACUUGCACCUUGCGUAUUCCACCAUUAAGAAACCUAUGGGAAGAAUUAAUGAUGUUCUUAUUGUUGCAAAUAGGAAUUAUGUGCCCGUAGAUUUUAUUGUUCUUGAUAUAGAUUGCAAUCCUUCAUGUCCUAUUAUUCUUGGUAGACCUUUCCUUAGAACGAUCGGUGCAAUUAUUGAUAUGUGGGAAGGGAAUAUUAGAUUCCAAUUUCCGUUAAAGAAAGGAAUGGAACAAUUUCCUAGAAAGAAAAUAAAAUUACCAUAUGAAUCUAUCAUGAGAGCCACUUAUGGAUUGCCUACCAAAGAUGGCAAUACCUAGAUCUAUCCUUGCUUUUAUGCCUAGCUAGGGGCGUUAAACGAUAGCGCUUGUUGGGAGGCAACCCAAUUUUACUUUUAUUUUAUUUUUUUGUUUUUUUCUUCUUUUUAGGAAUAAAUAUUAGUUCUAGCCUCUGGUUAGGUGUAUUUUUAUGUUUUAAUUAGUGUUUGUGCCAAGUUUAACCUAUAGGAUCUUCUUGGAUGAUACUUAUUUGAUCUUGCAGAAAAUUCCAGAAACUUUCUGUUCACGAAACAAUUGUUAAAAAUCACCAGAACGUGAUAAAAUAUUUAUUCCAAUUGCUGAUGAUCAAUAAACAAAUUUUCUAGGUCGUCCUAUUUUGGCUGAUUUUUUAGAGUUCCAGAAGUUUGCGUUAGUUACAGAUUACUACAGACUGUUCUGUUUUUGACAGAUUCUGUUUUUCGUGUGUUGUUUGCUUAUUUUGAUGAAUCUAUGGCUAGUAAAAUAGUUUACAAACCAUAGAGAAAUUGGAAUACAUUAGGUUUAACACCAAUAUAAAUAAAUAAUGAGUUCAUUACAGUACCUUGAAGUGGUCUUUUGUUUUCUCUCGCUAACGGAGCUCACGAGAUUUUCUGCUGAGUUUUGUGUUGUGAAGUUUUCAAGUUUUGGGUAAAAGAUUUGAUGGAUUAUGGAACAAGGAGUGGCAAUAGCCUAAGAUUGGGGAUACCCAUGGCACCCCCAAGAUAAUCUAAGGACACCUAAAAGCCAAAACUUGGGGAUGCCUCGGAAGGCAUCCCCUCUUUCAUCUACUUCCAUCGGUAACUUUACUUGGAGCUAUAUUUUUAUUCACCACAUGAUAUGUGUUUUGCUUGGAGCGUCUUGUAUGAUUUGAGUCUUUGCUUUUUAGUUUACCACAAUCAUAUUUUCUGUACACAUAUUUUGAGAGAGACACACAUGAUUCGGAAAUUAUUAGAAUACUCUAUGUGCUUCACUUAUAUCUUUUGAGUUAUAUAGUUUUUGCUCUAGUACUUCACUUAUAUCUUUUAGAGCACGGUGGUGGAUUUGUUUUAUAGAAACUAUUGAUCUCUCAUGCUUCACUUAGAUUAUUUUGAGAGUCUUAAAUAGCAUGGUAAUUUGCUUAAAUAAUCCUAAUAUGCUAGGUAUUCAAGAUUAGUAAAAACUUUCUUAUGAGUGUGUUGAAUACUAAGAGAAGUUUGGUGCUUGAUGAUUGUUUUGAGACAUGGAGGUAGUGCUAUCAAAGUUGUGCUAGUUGAGUAGUUGUGAAUUUGAGAAAUACUUGUGUUGAAGUUUGCAAGUGCCGUAGCAUGCACGUAUGGUAAACGUUAUGUAACAAAUUUGAAACAUGAGGUGUUCUUUGAGUGUCUUCCUUAUGAGUGGCGGUCGGGGACGAGCGAUGGUCUUUUCCUACCAAUCUAUCCCCCUAGGAGCAUGCGCGUAAUGCUUGGUUUUUGAUGACUUGUAGAUUUUUGCAAUAAGUAUGUGAGUUCUUUAUGACUAAUGUUGAGUCCAUGGAUUAUACGCACUCUCACCUUUCCAUCAUUGCUAGCCUCUUCGGUACCGUGCAUUGCCCUUUCUCACAUUGAGAGUUGGUGCAAACUUCGCCGGUGCAUCCAAACCCCGUGAUAUGAUACGCUAUUUCACACAUAAACCUCCUUAUAUCUUCCUCAAAACAGCCACCAUACCUACCUAUUAUGGCAUUUCCAUAGCCAUUUCGAGAUAUAUUGCCAUGCAACUUUCCACCGUUCCGUUUAUCAUGACAUGUUCAUCAUUGUCAUCUUGCUUUGCAUGAUCAUGUAGUUGACAUAGUAUUUGUGGCAAAGCCACCAUUCAUAAUUCUUUCAUACAUGUCACUCUUAGUUUAUUGCAUAUCCCGUUACACCGCCGGAGGCAUUCAUAUAGAGUCAUACUUUGUUCUAGUAUCGAGUUGUAAUCAUUGAGUUGUAAAUAAAUAGAAGUGUGAUGAUCAUCAUUUUCUAGAGCAUUGUCCCAAGUGAGGAAUGAAUAAAAAAGAGAAAGGCCAUAAAAAAGAGAAGGCCCAAAAAAAUGAGAGAAAAAGAGAGAAGGGACAAUGCUACUAUCCUUUUACCACACUUGUGCUUCAAAGUAGCACCAUGAUCUUCACGAUAGAGAAUCUCUUGUUUUGUCACUUUCAUAUACUAGUGGGAACUUUUCAUUAUAGAACUUGGCUUGUAUAUUCCAACAAUGGGCCUCCUCAAGUGCCCUAGGUCUUCGUGAGCAAGCAAGUUGGAUGCACACCCACUUAGUUUCUUUUGUUGAGCUUUCUUAUAUUUAUAGCUCUAGUGCAUCCGUUGCAUGGCAAUCCCUACUCCUUGCAUUAACAUCAAUCGAUGGGCAUCUCCAUAGCUCAUUGAUUAGCCUCGUUGAUGUGAUACUUUCUCCUUUUUGUCUUCUCCACAUAACCCCCAUCAUUAUAUUCUAUUCCACCCAUAGUGCUAUAUCCAUGGCUCACGCUCAUGUAUUGCAUGAAAGUUGAAAAAGUUUGAGAUUACUAAAGUAUGAAACAAUUGCUUGGCUUGUCAUCGGGGUUGUGCAUGAUGAGAGUAUUCUUGUGUGACGAAAAUGGAGCAUGACUAAACAAUAUGAUUUUGUAGGGAUGAACUUUCUUUGGCCAUGUUAUUUUGAGAAAACAUAAUUGCUUAGUUAGUAUGCUUGAAGUAUUAUUACUUUUAUGUCAAUAUUGAACUUUUAUCUUGAAUCUUUCGGAUCUGAAUAUUCAUACCACAAUUAAGAAGAAUUACAUUGAAAUUAUGUCAAGUAGCAUUCCACUCAAAAAUUCUAUUUUUAUCAUUUACCUACUCGAGGACGAGCAGGAAUUAAGCUUGGGGAUGCUUGAUACGUCUCCAAUGUAUCUAUAAUUUUUUAUUGUUCCAUGCUAUAUUAUAUUCUGUUUUGGACAUUAUUGGGCUUGAUUAUACACUUUUAUAUUAUUUUUGGGACUAACCUAUUAACCGGAGGCCCAGCCCAGAAUUGUUGUUCUUUGCCUAUUUCAGAGUUUCGCAGAAAAACAAUAUCAAGCGGAGUCCAAACGGAAUGAAACCUUCGGGAACGUGAUUUUUGGAACGAACGUGAUCCAGAGGACUUGGACCCUACGUCAAGACAUCAACCAGGAGGGCACGAGGUAGGGGGGCGCGCCUACCCUCCACCCUCGUGGGCCCCCUGUUGCUCCACCGACGUACUCCUUCCUCCUAUAUAUACCUAUGUACCCCCAAACUACCAGAUACGGAGCCAAAAACCUAAUUCCACCGCCGCAACCUUCUGUACCUAUGAGAUCCCAUCUUGGGGCCUGUUUCGGAGCUCCGCCGGAGGGGGCAUCGAUUACGGAGGGCUUCUACAUCAACACCAUAGCCUCUCCGAUGUAGUGUGAGUAGUUUACCUCAGACCUUCGGGUCCAUAUUAUUAGCUAGAUGGCUUCUUCUCUCUUUUUGGAUCUCAAUACAAUGUUCUCCCCCUCUCUCGUGGAGAUCUAUUCGAUGUAAUCUUCUUUUGCGGUGUGUUUGUUGAGACCGAUGAAUUGUGGGUUUAUGAUCAAGUUUAUCUAUGAACAAUAUUUGAAUCUUCUCUGAAUUCUUUUAUGUAUGAUUGGUUAUCUUUGCAAGUCUCUUCGAAUUAUCAGUUUGGUUUGGCCUACUAGAUUGAUCUUUCUUGCAAUGGGAGAAGUGCUUAGCUUUGAGCUCAAUCUUGCGGUGUCCUUUCCCAGUGACAGUAGGGGCAGCAAGGCACGUAUUGUAUUGUUGCCAUCGAGGAUAACAAGAUGGGGUUUAUAUCAUAUUGCAUGAGUUUAUCCCUCUACAUCAUGUCAUCUUGCUUAAAGCGGUACUCUGUUCUUAUGAACAUAAUACUCUAGAUGCAUGCUGGAUAGCGGUCGAUGUGUGGAGUAAUAGUAGUAGAUGCAGGCAGGAGUCGGUCUACUUGUCUCGGACGUGAUGCCUAUAUACAUGAUCAUACCUAGAUAUUCUCAUAACUAUGCUCAAUUCUGUCAAUUGCUCAACAGUAAUUUGUUCACCCACCGUAAAUACUUAUGCUCUUGAGAGAAGCCACUAGUGAAACCUAUGGCCCCCGGGUCUAUUUUCCAUCAUAUUAAUCUUCCAACACUUAGCUAUUUCUGGGGCCAUUUUUAUUUUACUUUCUUUACUUUGCAUCUUUAUCAUAAAAAUACCAAAAAUAUUAUCUUAUCAUAUCUAUCAGAUCUCACUCUCGUAAGUGACCGUGUAGGGAUUGACAACCCCUUAUCGCGUUGGUUGUAAGGAUUUAUUUGUUUGUGUAGGUGCAAGGGACUCGUGCGUGGCCUCCUACGGGAUUGAUACCUUGGUUCUCAAAAACUGAGGGAAAUACUUACGCUACUUUGUUGCAUCACCCUUUCCUCUUCAAGGGAAAACCAACGCAGUGCUCAAGAGGUAGCAGCCCUCAGCUCCGGUUGCCGUAGAUGAAUAGUCGGCCUAUGACAACGCCGCUGGGGCGCAUUUCCAAGCCAAGCAGGCCAACAUUGGCACAUUCUACGCCGGUCAUGGCGGUGACUGUGGGGGCGGCCAUGGCCGUGGCUAUGGGGGUGGUUGUGGUCAUGGCCGUGGUGGUGAAUUGAGGUGGAGGUGGUCGUGGCCCCGACAAGUUUAACUAAUUAGUGUGUAAUUUAACUAAUUAUCAAGUGUUGUAUGAAUCUAAGUCGCAAGGCCACUAAUUUUUCUCUCCAUGCCUAUGAAUAAAAUCGAUGCUUCCGCACUUCUUUUAUGAGUUCAAUGAGUUCGUCUGAAUAUUUUAGAGAAGAAUAUGUGCUCCAAUAUCAUAUGGGCCUACUUAUGGGACAAAUAUAAAACUCACAUUAAGACAAUUUUGUAUUUCCGUUUUCGCUCGACAGUCUCCAUAUAUCUAUGAGCAAGUACAAUAUUGGGUUAUAAGUCCGUUUACAUGACACUAUUUUCUAGAAACGUUUACAUGACACUUGUGCCUAUGUGGAGAGAGAGACAAGAAAAAAAUGAAGGAGUGAGCUCUCAGACUACCCACAGGGGGAGUAACAUAGGUGGUAACAUCACACAUAUCUAGAUAAAAUAGAUGAUGUGACAAGCAAUUAAUGAGGAAAGAGAGACAUGUGAUAACAUAGCUAGUUACUAGUAAUAUGAGUAACAUCACAUAUACCAAGUCAAGAUGAGUCUGUAACCUAAUAAAUGAUAUGUUGCAUGACACCACACACAUGUUACUUCCCACUAUAAAGGUAGUAACAUAGACUACUUCCUCCGUCUCGGUUUACAGGGCAUGCACGUCGUUCUAGGUUGAGAAUUUAACUAGCAAUAUAUGUGUUAUAUGUGAUGAAAAAUAUAUGUUUCGAAACUACAUCCUAUUAAGAAUCCAAUGAUAUACUUUGGUGACAUAUAACUCAUAUUUAGUUAGUCAAAUGGAUGACCUAGAACUACGCACACGCCUUCUAAAUCGAGACGGAGGGAGUAGUAACAUAUGCAUGUUACUAGUCUAAGUUACUUCCCACUGUGGCUAGUCUCAUGCAAGAGCCGGCCUCUACACGUGCUCCUAGAUGAACGCAUUUAAUGAGAAGAAAGAGAUAGAGAGAAAGUGAAAAAAGUUGUGGACUUAUAGCCAAAACUAUUGUAUGAGUAAUGAAUAUUGUUAAUACUUGAUGACAUGGCAAGUCCAAUAGCCAGCAGCUGGCUAUAUUAUUAACCAUGCUCUAUAUGAAACAUGUGUUAUCCUUUAUAUGUGAUGUAAAGGCUGCCCUGCCAAUGUAGCACGAAAAAAAACCCCCUCGGGUGCUCCCACGAUCGCUAGGUGAUCUGGCGGCGACGGCGGACGAGCGCUCGUGAGAUGGCGGACUCGGCGGCGGGGAUCCCACCAGAGGGGAGGCGAUUGACUACAGUAGGGAGCCAGGAGGUGGGCCUCUCCAGCGUGAGGGAGUGGGAGGAGAUCAGGAAGAGAUCGAGGCAGAUCCUUCGGGGAUCGAAGGACCGGGCCUGAUACUUAAUUCGGGCGCAGAGGAGAGCGAAGGAAAUCGAAGCUGUUUUGGCAGGUGAGAUCCAGUUGUCUCCUGGGAGGGAAAGCGGGAUAGGAUUGGGGAGGGCCAUGCAUCCCGAUGGAUCAGAGGGGUAUGGAUCGAAGGGAAAGGGCGUGGUGUGCGUUCGGGUUAUACAGGCAGCUUCGGUUGAUUCACCAAUAUGUUUAUUCCUUCCGGAUUUUAGCAUGAGAGAUCAACAAGAUUUGAAGGAGGAGUCGAUUUUAGGCCCAGAUAUUACCUUUUGUGGAUCAAUCAGGGGAGAGGGAGUUGUUUUUGCUGUAGUUAUUAGGAAACUGCUCAUUCAUGGCAUUUUAUUCUUGAUUAAUAGCAUCAAAUUCCUUUAUGAGAUUGUUUGGAGGGGAACAUUGGCCUGCUAUAUCUAUGGGCACGGGACAGGUCGGGCCUUUUCACCUACCCUACCACUGCACACUCAUUUGUUCUUUGAUCCCUCCAUACCCUGCGGCGGCUUAGAGAGGUGGUCCAUGGCGGGUCAGGGGGGGUUUGUGAGUAGUGCUUUGGGGAAGAAAGUUGUGAGUGGUGUGAGUUCCAGGGGGUGACGGAUGCAGCGACGAGAAUGCGCUCUUCAUUGGCCAUCGACCAAGCUGGUUCAUCUCUUGGUCGGCCUCUUGUCAUUGACAUGGAGGCUACCCGCAAGACUGUCUGCGGGCUCCUGGUGGUGGGGCGCCUCCUGUCCCCUUUCCAGGUCAACCCGAGAUUCAUAGUCGACGACCUCCGGAGCACAGCUUGGAAGAACCAGGGUGUGGUCACCAUCCAGGAGGUGGCCAGCAAAGACGGGAGGUUCAUCCUCAAUUUUGCCGCUGAGAGUGACCGUCGGUUUGUGCUUGAGGAGCAGCCAUGGCACUUCAAGCGGGACGGCCUCAUCUUCGCCGAGUUCGACGGCAAGGGCGACCCUGCGGAGGUCGACCUUGGCGUCAUGACCAUAUGGGUUAAGGUACGAAAUCUCCCGUUCGAGUUUAAGAUGGAGAGUGUAGGGUGGUCUCUCGAGGAUCAACUGGGAGAGGUGCUGGAGGUUUCGCACCGUAACCAUGUAAUUGUUGAGAAAUACAUGUGUGUGCAUGUGAAGAUAUUAUUGCAUGAGCCUCUGAAAUGCUCUGUAGAGAUUACCCCUUUAGGUAGUUCAAAGAUCUUUAAAUAUGAUGUAAAGUAUGAGAAACUACCUUUGUACUAUGAGUGUUGUGGGAUAGUGUGUCAUACAUCAGAGGUUUUGUAAAAUUCCAAGAGAGGAGAGAGUAGUUUGUUUUCUAAGAAACCUUAGUGUUGAGCCCUACUGGAAGAGCCAAGGUACUAGCAGGAGGGGUCUCCUCUUCGGGAACUACGUUCGCGGCAGCAACAACUCGACUACAGGCAUUGUCAACAACAACAUCGCCAAGGCCACAGACGUCAUCAAGGUGGCCACUGCCGUGAGCGGGCUCACGGUCUCCGAUAAGGGGGCCGCUACUUCCGUCAGGACGAACACCGGCCAGGAGGGCCGGACUCAGGGGAUCAUGGCGCCUACCCCGGCGGGUGCGCCGCUUGGUCAUGAGGACCAGGCGGGCACGCUAGCUGGUCCUGCCGGGGGAGGCCAGGAGGUCCAGGGGUGCGUGACCAGGCUGGAGUCGCGCCAGAAUGCGGAGGUUGACCAAAGUCAGCAUUGUUAUGAUGUUGUACAUGCCCAAAGUACACAUGCAGGUCACGUGGCCAUGAUUUCUCACGCUCAAGUGAUGGCCAGGAAAACUCCAGUGGAUGGAGAUGAUGCUGGCGAGCUUUUUUUUCAGCCGGGAGUGUUGGAGGCGUUGUCUAGCGCUGUUGCAGCGAAAAUCGCUAUGGCCGGCGGUGAUACAUUGAAUAAUGCUCUACCCUUUAAAUUCAGUGCAGCAAAAAAUCCUAUGCGGGGCAACUCAGAAAAGAAAGAUAAAAAGAAAGGGGGGGCAAACAGAGUUGAAGAUGCCCGCAAGCAAGUGAUAGGGAAAAAAUAGGGGGGCAUUCUUUUGCGGCUCGUCCAACGGGCAAUGACUUAGAGAUUUCUUUUGAGAAAGAGAUGGAUAGUUAUGAGCGCAUAUUAUAUGGUGAUGUAAACGUCUCAUCCAAACGGGUGUGCACGGGUAGAGUGUAACGCCCACGAUGCGGCUAUAUCUCCCACGUGUCGAGGCACGACUUAGAGGCAUAACCGCAUUGUGGUUUUGUCGCAAAAAGGGUCAUCUUCACACAAUCCCAUGUAAUGAACAAGAAUGGGAUAAAGAGUUGGCUUACAAUCGCCACUUCACACAAUACAUAAAUAUAAUUCAUACAUCAUCCAAAAUACACACAUAGACCGACUACGGUCAAGAUCCAAAUGAAAAUAAGAUAACCCCAAAUGCUAGAUCCCCGAUCGUCCCAACUGGGCUCCACUACUGAUCAUCAGGAAAAGACACAUAGUAACGACCACGUUCCUCAUCGAACUCCCACUUGAGGUCAAUAUCAUCAACUGCACUGGCAUCGUCGGCACCUGCAACUGUUUUGGUAGAAUCUGUGGGUCACGAGGACUCAGCAAUCUCACACCCGCGAGAUCAAGACUAUUUAAGGUUAUAGGUAAGGAUGGUGAAAUGGGGUGGAGCUGCAGCAGGCACUAAGCAUAUAUGGUGGCUAACAUACGCAAAUGAGAGCGAGGAGAGAAGCAACGGAACGGUCGUCAACUAGCAAUGACCAAGAAGUGAUCCUGAACUCCUACUUACGUUCAUGCAUAACUCAAACCGUGUUCACUUCCCGGACUCCGCCGAGAAGAGACCAUCACGGCUACACACACAGUUGAUGUAUUUUAAUUGGGUCAAGUGACAAGUUCUCUACAACCGGACAUUAACAAAUUCCCAUCUGCCUCAUAAUCACGGGCACGGCUUUCGAAAGAUAAUACCCUGCAGGGGUGUCCCAACUUAGCCCAUUAUAAGCUCUCACGGUCAACGAAGGAUAAACCUUCUCCCGGAAAGACCCGAUCAGUCUCGGAAUCCCGGUUUACAAGACAUUUCGACAAUGGUAAAACAAGACCAGCAAAGCCGCCCGAAUGUGCCGACAAAUCCCGAUAGGAGCUGCACAUAUCUCGUUCUCAGGGCACACCGGAUAAGUCAAGCUACGAGUAAAACCAGACCUCGAGUUUCCCCGAGGUGGCCCCGCAGGCUGCUCGGUUCGGACCAACACUCGAAGGAGCACUGGCCCGGGGGGGUUAAAAUAAAGAUGACCCUCGGGCUCGCGAAAACCCGGGGGAAAAAGGCUUAGGUCGCAAAUGGUAAAACCAAGGUUGGGCCUUGCUGGAGGAGUUUUAUUCAAGGCGAACUGUCAAGGGGGUCCCAUAAAUCACCCAACCGCGUAAGGAACGCAAACUCAAGAAACAUAAUACCGGUAUGACAGAAACUAGGACGGCAAGAGUGGAACAAAACACCAGGCAUAAGGCCGAGCCUUCCACCCUUUACCAAAUAUAUAGAUGCAUUAAUCAAAUAAGAGAUAUUGUGAUAUCCCAACAUAUCCAUGUUCCAACAUGGAACAAACUUCAACUUCACCUGCAACUAGCAACGCUAUAAGAAGGGCUGAGCAAAAGCGGUAACAUAGCCAAACAACGGUUUGCUAGGAAAGGAUGGUCAGAGGCUGACAUGGCAAUAUGGGAGGCAUGAUAUAGCAAGUGAUAGGUAGCGCAACAUGGCAAUAGAACGAACAACUACAGGAACUUAACAUGGCAAAACAAGGCAUGGCAGUGUUCUACUAAAUGCAUAUGACAAAAGUCCCUUACUGACCAUAAGCCAAAAAGGACCAGAAGAUAUAAUGGCAACCAUGCAAACAUAGCAAGUUUCGUUAACAGGUUUCAGACUUAGCAGAAAACAGAGCAUGGCAGAAACAACAAUAUGAAGGCAUCUUGGUGAGCUUGACGCACUCACUACAGAGCAAUGCAUGACAAAAUAAGCAUACCAACAGCAAGAUGGCACCUUUAUGAAGCUAUCCAUGGCAACAUAAAAUACAUACCAUGUAUGAAACAACUAGAACAAGCUUGGCAAAAUUGCAUAUCAUGUAAACAAUCUGCCAGAAAUAUUUUAUAGCAAAAGUAGAGCAAGAUUGAGUCAUGCUAUGGCACUCCAUAAUUGCAAACAAGGGUAGGAAUGGAUCAAUUACAACAAUACCUACAAAACAUCCUUACUGAACAUCUCCAAAAUAUGCAUGGAUCUCUCUGUAGCAUCAAGUUUACAUGGCAACAAAAUAACAGCAGACAAAGACUUGGAGGAAUUACUAAGUCCCUGAAAUCAGAAACAUUACGGAGCCUAGUGUGCAUGCUUGUGCUAGUCACCACAGAGAUCAUAAAAAUACAUGGCAUACACCACUGGAAAUAUGGCAUGGCAUACAACAAAACACAUGUAGAGCUCAUGCCCAUAAGAUGCACAGAUUAAAUGCAACAAAAAUAACAAAUCCUCAAGUUCUGCUAAGUAACAGCAGAUAACAGCAAGUAGCACUCUUGCACCAGAGAUUUGGGCAUCAAGAUGAGCUCAAAUGAACCUGGUGCAAUGGAACAAAAUUAAGAGCAUCACGAGGCGAACAUUUCGAUAUAUUACACGCGCGAAAUAGAGCUAUAUGCAGAGAGUUAUGAUGCUAUGAAGAUGGGCACAUACUGUAAAAUUAUAAGGACUUGGGAUUUUCGGGGAGAGGUGAAAAAGUCGACCCGUUCUCAGAUCCGAUCAGGGCCGGCUCGGUUUCGACGGUGGCCGGAGCUGGGCUGCUGCCGGCGGCGGCGUGGAGGAGGAGGAGGCGCCGGGGCCCGGGGGAGAUGGCGGCGAGGAGGAAGGAGGACGGCGGCGAGGGUGGCGUCGUGGCCGCAGGCNNNNNNNNNNNNNNNNNNNNNNNNNNNNNNNNNNNNNNNNNNNNNNNNNNNNNNNNNNNNNNNNNNNNNNNNNNNNNNNNNNNNNNNNNNNNNNNNNNNNNNNNNNNNNNNNNNNNNNNNNNNNNNNNNNNNNNNNNNNNNNNNNNNNNNNNNNNNNNNNNNNNNNNNNNNNNNNNNNNNNNNNNNNNNNNNNNNNNNNNNNNNNNNNNNNNNNNNNNNNNNNNNNNNNNNNNNNNNNNNNNNNNNNNNNNNNNNNNNNNNNNNNNNNNNNNNNNNNNNNNNNNNNNNNNNNNNNNNNNNNNNNNNNNNNNNNNNNNNNNNNNNNNNNNNNNNNNNNNNNNNNNNNNNNNNNNNNNNNNNNNNNNNNNNNNNNNNNNNNNNNNNNNNNNNNNNNNNNNNNNNNNNNNNNNNNNNNNNNNNNNNNNNNNNNNNNNNNNNNNNNNNNNNNNNNNNNNNNNNNNNNNNNNNNNNNNNNNNNNNNNNNNNNNNNNNNNNNNNNNNNNNNNNNNNNNNNNNNNNNNNNNNNNNNNNNNNNNNNNNNNCACGGGACACGUGGCGGACGCGGGGUGGCUGCGGGAUCCGUCCGGCGGCGACCGGACGUGUCCGGCGGCGGCGGGGAAAAUGCUAGGGUUUGAUCUGCGUAUUAUUUCGGGAGGGGAGGCAUAUAUAUAGGUAGAGGGAGCUAGGAGGCUCCAAAUGAGGUGCGGUUUUCGCCCACACGAUCGUGAUCGAACGACCUAGAGCAUGGAAGAGAGUUUGGUGGGUUUUGGGCUGUUUAGAGAGGGGUUUUUUCUGCCCACACAAACGGACUUUGCGGUUACCCGGUUAACCGUUGGAGUAACAAACGACCUCCAAAUAGAACGAAACUUGACCGGUGGCCUACCAGUGGUAUACCAAGGCCACUUGACAAGCCUCGGUCCAUUCCGAGAACGUUUGACACCCGCUCGCGAAAGAAAAACAAGAGGGUGCGCCGGAGGAGGUAGGAGUGCCGGAUUGCAAAACGGACAACGGGGAAAAUGCUCGGAUGCAUGAGACGAACACGUAUGCAAAUGCAAUGCACAUGAUGACAUGAUAUGAGAUGCAUGACAUGAACAAAAUGCAAAACGAAAAACAAAACCCGACCACGAAGGGAAUAUCAUAACACAUGGCCGAAAAUGGCACGAGUCGGAGUUACAAAUAUGGAAAGUUACAUCCGGGGUGUUACAACACUCCACCACUACGAGAGGAUCUCGUCCCGAGAUCUAGGACUGAAAGAACUCCGGAUAUUCGGAACGGAGAUGGUCCUCGCGUUCCCAGGUGGCUUCCCGGUCGGAAUGGUGCGACCACUUCACUUUCAGGAAUUUGAUUGACUUGUUGCGAGUCUUGCGCUCGGUUUCUUCAAGAAUGGCAACGGGGUGCUCAUGAUAAGACAGAUAUUCUUGAAGGUCAAUCUCUUCGAAGUUGAUGGUGCGCUCGGGCAUCUUGAAGCACUUGCGGAGCUGUGACACGUGGAACACGUCGUGCACGUUCGCGAAGUUGGAAGGAAGCUCAAGUUGAUAGGUGAGGUCGCCUCUUUUGCCAAUGAUCUUGAAAGGACCCACGUAUCUAGGGGCAAGCUUCCCUUUGAUACCGAAGCGACGAGUGCCUUUCAUUGGAGAGACGCGGAGGUAGACAUGGUCUUCGAUCUCGAAAGCCACAUCACGGUGCUUACUAUCAUAGUAACUCUUCUGUCGCGAUUGCGCGGCUUUGAGAUUUUCACGGAUGACUUUACACAUUUCUUCAGCCUCUGUGAUUAAGUCAUUGCCAAGAAGUUGGCGUUCACUAGUCUCUGACCAAUUGAGAGGAGUACGGCACUUUCUGCCAUAAUCUCGAAUGGGGCCUUGCCCGAACUUGCUUGGAAGCUGUUGUUGUAGGAGAAUUCAGCAUAUGGAAGACAAUCUUCCAAUUUCAUGCCAAAGGAAAUGACACAAGCCCUGAGCAUAUCUUCAAGAAUUUGAUUGACUCGCUCGACUUGGCCACUAGUUUGAGGAUGGAAAGCUGUGCUGAAGCGAAUGUUUGUGCCCAUGGCCUUCUGGAAGGAGUCCCGGAACUUAGAGGUGAAGAUGCUUCCACGAUCUGAAGAAAUCAAUUGUGGAAUGCCGUGCAAGGAGACAAUUCUGGAGGUGUAUAGCUCUGCCAACUGAGCUGCUGUGAUAGACUCUUUGAUUGGAAGGAAAUGAGCCACUUUAGAAAGCUUGUCGAUGACAACGAAGAUAGCAUCAUUUCCACGCUUAGACUUUGGAAAUCUAGUCAAGAAGUCCAUUUCGAUAUGAUCAAACUUCCAUUCUAGGAUAGCAAGAGGUUGGAGGAGACCAGCUGGUCGUUGGUGUUCUACUUUCACUCUUCGACAGACAUCGCAUUCAUUCACGAACUGAGCAAUUUCUCGCUUCAUUCGAGUCCACCAAUACGACUGUUUGAGGUCAUAGUACAUCUUCGUACUUCCAGGAUGAAUGGAAAGGAGAGAAUUGUGCGCCUCGUUCAUUAUGACUUUCCUUAGAUCACCUUUAGGAACCACAAUCCGGUCCUCGAAGAAUAAAGUGUCUCUGUCAUCAAUGCGGUAGCACUUGUAUUUGGAAAGACCCUUGUCGAUACCACGUUUCACCUUCUUCACCAUGGCAUCAAGAAGUUGUGCCUCACGAAUUUGAUCUUCCAAAGUAGGAGAGACUAUGAGGUUGGCAAGAAAGCCUUGAGGAACAACUUGGAGAUUCAGCUUGCGGAAAGCUUCACAAAGAUCCGGUUGGAAUGGCUUGAGAAUUAAGCUGUUGCAAUAAGCCUUCCUGCUUAAAGCAUCUGCAAUGACAUUGGCCUUGCCUGGAGUAUAUUCAAUACUCGGAUUGUACUAUUGAAUCAUUUCGACCCAUCGAGUCUGCCUGAGGUUGAGGUUGGGUUGAGUGAAGAUGUACUUGAGACUCUUGUAAUCGGUGAAUAUGUCCACUUUUCUUCCCAGCAAGAGAUGUCUCCACGUUAUUAAUGCAUGGACAACUGCCGCCAACUCAAGAUCGUGAGUGGGGUAGUUCUUCUCAUUGGGCUUCAACUAACGAGAGGUAUAGGCCACAACUUUCUUCUCUUGCAUUAACACAGCACCGAGACCUUGGAGAGAAGCAUCACAGAAAACUUCAAAUGGCUUGGAUUCGUCGGGAGGAGUCAAGACAGGAGCUGUGACUAGUUUCUCUUUGAGAGUGUUUAAAGCAACGUCACACUCAGGAGACCAGACAUACUUCACAUGCUUCUGGAGGAGGUUGGAAAGAGGCUUUGCAAUCUUGGAGAAAUUCUCAACGAAUCUUCGGCAAUAGCUUGCAAGACCAAGAAAACUGCGGAGCUGCUUGACAUUCUGAGGAGGUUCCCAAUUCACAAUUGCAGACACCUUCUCGGGAUUAACAGCGAUGCCCUUGGCAGAGAUGAUGUGACCAAGGUAAAGAACUUCAUCAAGCCAAAACUCACAUUUUUAAAACUUCGCAUAGAAUUGAUACUCUCUGAGCUUGUCGAGCACCAAUCGCAAAUGUUUGGCAUGGUCCUUCUUAUUCUUGGAGAAGACCAAUAUAUCAUCGAGAUACACCAGAACGAAUUCAUUGGUAUAGGAGUUGAAGAUGAAAUUCAUCAUCCGAGAGAAUGUUGGAGGAGCAUUGACAAGGCCGAAAGACAUGAAAGUAUAUUCAUAAGAACCAAAGUUUGUUCUGAAUGCUGUCUUGGGAAUAUCUUCUUCACGAAUGCGAAUCUGAUGAUAACCCAUAUGGAGAUCAAGCUUGGAGAAUACUUUGGCACCUUUGAGUUGCUCGAAUAGCUCAUUGAUGUUGGGAAGUGGAUACUUGUUCUUGAUUGUCUUCUUGUUCAAUGGACGGUAGUCGACACAAAGUCGGUCCAUGCCAUCCUUCUUCUAGACAAAAAGAACACCACAACCCCAUGGAGAUGAACUCGGUCUGAUCAAACCCAGACGCUCUUGUUCAUCGAGUUGUUUCUUCAAUUCCUUCAACUCCUUGGGUCCAAGCUUGUAUGGACACUUGCAAACGGGUUCAGUGCCCGGCUCAAGAUCGAUAACGAACUCAACUGGCUGGUGAGGAGGCAUACCCGGUGUAAGGGCAUAUUUAUCCCUAAGAUUUUUGGUGAUUGAUGACAAUGCUUUUGUGGACUAAUCGUGUGCGUUGAGUGUUUUUCAGAGAUUCAUCCUUUUGGCACGAGACGAUUUCCUCCCCUCGGAGCUUAAAGCGAAGACGGUGUAGUCCUUUCGGAUUAGUUUGGUGGACUAGUUUCAUAGGGAUCACCGUACUAUCAAGAGGGGGUCCGUUUUGGAAAGGCUAGGGCGGAAUCAUCACGUACACUUCCUUUUCCCCUCCCUCCGAGCCUUUCCGUUUCGAUGAUGGGCUUGGUUCUCCUCUCUUUGUGCCCUCUCUGGUCCCAGCGGUAGUACCGCGGGCCAGAGCGGUAGUACCGCUUGGGUGCUACAAGCGGUAGUACCGCUCUGGAGCGGUAGUACCGCCCAGAGCAGUAGUACCGCUAGUAGCCCCCAUGUGUGUACUAACUCUGGUCCCAGCGGUGGUACUGCGGGACGGAGCGGUAGUACCGCUUGGGUGCCUCAAGCGGUAGUACCGCUCUGGGCGCGGUAGUACCGCUCCAGAGCAGUAGUACCGCUAGUGGCCCCAAGCCGUAGUACCGCGGUGGUCUCGUGCUAGUACCGCCUCGAUUCAAGGGCUCCUUUUUCGUGUCGAGUUUUAUGGUACUGGCCGCGGCUGUGGGGGGCCGUAGUACCGCUCCUGUGCGGUAGUACCGCCCACCCUCCGCGGUAGUACCGCUGUGGGCCAAGCGGUAGUACCGCGUUGUGUAGCGGUAGUACCGCUUAUAGUGGCGAGCGGUAGUACCGCUGGCAUAGCGGUACUACCACUCUCUUCGGGGCAGAAGGGGGGUAACGGUUGGUUUGUUCCCCCCACUAUAUAAAGGGGUCUUCUUCCCCAAAGUUGACAUCACCUCUUCCCCCAAAAAGCUCCAUUGUUGCUCCAAGCUCCAUUUUCGCCCGAUCUCUCUCCCUAGCCAAUCAAACUUGUUGAUUUGCUCGGGAUUGGUUGAGAAGGCCACGAUCUACACUUCCACCAAGAGAAAUUUGAUUCCCCCCACUUAUCCCUAGCGGAUCUUGUUACUCUUGGGUGUUUGAGCACCCUAGACGGUUGAGGUCACCGCGGAGCCAUAGUCCAUUGUGGUGAAGCUUUGUGGUGUCGUUGGGAGCCUCCAAUUAAGUUGUGGAGAUUGCCCCAACCUUGUUUGUAAAGGUCCGGUCGCCGCCUUCAAGGGCACCAAUAGUGGAAUCACGGCAUCUCGCAUUGUGUGAGGGUGUGAGGAGAAUACGGUGGCCCUUGUGGCUUCUUGGGGAGCAUUGUGCCUCCACACCGCUCCAACGGAGACGUACUUCCCUUCAAAAGGAAGGAACUUCGGUAACACAUCCUCGUCUUCACCGGCUCCACUCUUGGUUAUCUCGUUCCUUUACUUUAGCUAGUUUACUUGUGUUAUAUCUCUUACUUGCUUGCGUGCUUGUUGUCGUUGCAUCAUAUAGGUUGCUCACUUAGUUGCAUAUCUAGACAACCUAUUUUGAUGCAAAGUUUAAUUUGGUAAAGAAAAGCUAAAAAAAAUUGUUAGUUGCCUAUUCACCCCCCCCCCUCUAGUCAACUAUAUCGAUCCUUUCAAUUGGUAUCAGAGCCUCGUCUCUUUAUUAAGGACUUUACCGUCCAAAGAGUAUGGUUGACGUCGUAGACGGUGCGGAGGAGCACUCCGGUGAGAAUCCAGUCUCGUCUAUGGGAGAUGGGGGAACCGCGGUCUCUCGUGAGGAAUUCAAUGUGGCGUUGGACACAUUGAAAACCUCCAUGACGACCAAGGUCGAAAGCAUGUUGAAUAAAUUCUUAGAAGGGCUUAAACUUACCACUGCACCGUUGAAAGUGGGUGAUCCCGCUAACAAGGUGACGGAUGCUACCUCCGACAAGGGGGAAGCUUCGAGCGAGAAGGCUCCUUGUUCUAGUGAUAAAAAUGGGACCGGCAUCUUUGCCCAUGUGGAACCUCCACCUGUCUAUGGUGGACCACUCCCUUCCACUCAUUUGAAUCAUGUCGGCCCGGCCCCUAAGAUUGAGAAGAAUGUAGAUUUUGAUUCUUGGGUCUAUCAUUUUAAGCGUCAUUUAAAUCAUGUGAACACUAACCUUUGGAGAAUCAUUGAAGAAGGCUUUUAUCCGCAUGACCGAAGUAACUUCACUCCUAGAGAAGUUGUGGAUCAUCAAUUCAAUGAAAAUGCUCUCUUCAUCAUCCAAGAAGCCAUCCCACCCGAAGAUCUUCCUCAUCUCCGGCCUUACACCGUGGCCAAAGAUGCGUGGCUCCAAGUUGUUCCCCUUUAUCGGGGAAGCGCAAGCAUUCAACGCUCCAACUAUGAAGCGGUGCAAGAUGAAGCCGACGAGUUUGCAAUGAAAGAAGAUGACGAACCUCGUGAGCUUUUUCGGAGAGUAACCAAACUCGCGGUCUCGCUCCAAGAUCAUGGAAGCAAGGACACGGAUGACAAUUGGAUCAAGCGCAAGUUCCUCAAGGCAAUGAUGCCCUACCACAAAGCCAUGUCCUCCGUAAUUCAUCAAAGGCCGGACUUUCACACCUUGUCCUCAAGUGAAGUGUUGGAUGAGUUUGUGGCUAUGAGCAUCUUGGACAAGACCGCCAACAAUGCGGUUCUUCGCUCUCAAAGAGUUAAGAAGCCCAACCUUGCUCUAAAGGCCAAGGUUAGUAUGGAGGAAGAGGAUGAAGAGGAAGAAGAGGAGGGCAACCUCGAAGAUACGAAGUAUGCCUAUCAUGAACACAUGGCUCUUGCUUCAAGGCAAUUUUGGAGCAAGAAGAACACAAGGCCAAACUUCAACAAAAGCAACUCAAGUGGCGCAAAGGGCAAGCAACGGAUGAGGACUUGCUUCAAUUGUGGCAAUGUUAGCCACUUUGUUGCGGAGUGCCCUUACGAGAAGAGGGAAGACAAUGGUGGCAAGCUCAUUAGAAAAGACAAGGCCAAGUCGUUCCCCAACAAGAGCAACUUCACCAAGAAGACUCCUCCCAAGGCGUUGGUGGUUCAAGAAGAGUACAAUGAGGAUGAUGACGAUGAUGAAGAUAGUGAGUCAGUUGCCAUGGCCUCCGUUGCCAUUGCGAAGACUCCACGGGUGUCUCUCUUCGACUCACCCAAUGAGAACAUCACCGCCAAGUGCCUCAUGGCUAAAGCCACCAAUAAGGUAACCUCCAACAUCAAAACUACCAUCAUUGAUCAUCCUUCUUCGACGGAUAGCAUUGAUGAACAUGAGGGGACAAAUGUGGAGGAAAAUGAGUUUGAGAUCUUUAUGGGUAAACUCAAGGGUAAAUCCAAGAAGCACUUCGUUGCUCUCUUGGAACAACUUGGUGAAGCCAAUGACAUGAUCGAGGCUCACGAAGAUACCAUCUCUAAGAUGGAGGGGCAUAGUCGUGACUAUGCCGAUGAGAUUUCGGAUCUUUCCAAUGCUCUUGAUGAAGAGCGUGGUCUUCGUUUGGCUCUUGAGGAUUCAUACAACGAUGAUCAUGCUAAGUUAAAGAAAGAUCUUGAUCAUGCUCUUGUUGUGUCUCGUGUGCUAAACUCCGAGAAGGCAAAACUUGGGGUUGAUCUUGCUAGACUCAAAGAGGAGUUUGGCAUUCUCGACAAGGCUCACAAAGUCUUGAAGGGUGUUCAUGCUAGCCUCAAGGAGUCUCAUGAUCAACUCCAAGUGAAGCUAACAAAGGAGAAAGCCACCUUUCCUCAUAUGGUGUUAAUUGAUAAUGCAAAUGCUACUAACCCGUGUUGUGAGCAUGUGCAUCUUGUUGAGGAGAAUGCUAAGUUGAAGGAGUAACUUGAGAAAGGCCUUGUGUCAUGCAUACAAGGUGAGAAGAACCUCAACACCCUCUUGAGCAAUCAAAAGGAAGUUGUGGCCAAGGAGGGGAUUGGGUUCACACCCAAUCCCAAGAACAAGAAGAAGAAUGACAAGACCAGGCGACCUCCUCCUCUCAAGCAAACUUUUGUGAAGGAGGGAGAGGGUGCUUCCAAGGAGAAGAAGAACAAUGCAAAGGGUGGCGGUGUCAAGAAGAGCAAUGCCACUCCUUCCAACAAAGCCGGCGACUUUAAUCCUUCUUAUGUGUUAUGCCGUGCUAGUGAUGGGCAUGUUUAUGCCAAAUUCGUUGGUUCUCCUUAUGAGUACAUUGAAUGGUCUAUUUGGGUUCCUAAGACCCUUAUUACUAACAUCAAAGGACCCAUUACAAAGUGGGUACCUAAAACCAAGCAUUGAUCUCUUGUAGGUGUUUGCUUCCGGUGGGGGAUCAUGGUUGCUCGAUAGUGGAGCUACAAAUCAUAUGACCGGAAGCAAGGACUUGGUGGUGGACGUGCACAAGAUUCCAUCUAUGCCCACCAAUGUCGAGUGGGGUGAUGCCUCGUCUUCUAAGGUAUUGGGACUCGGCAAAGUUGUCAUUUCUCAUGAUCUCACGAUCGAGAAGGUCAUGCUAGUUGAGUCCCUUGCAUACAAUUUACUUUCCGUUCGUCAACUUGCUAUCAUGGGUUUUGCCACCUUCUUUGAUAUUGAUACCGUGGCCCUCUUGUGGAGCAAGACUCUUAAAGUAGCCUUUGUUGGGCAUGUCGAGAAUGGUCUCUAUGUGAUUAACUUUUCAAAGCGACCCACUAAGACCGCGACAUGCCUAAUGGCUAAAGUUGACGUGGGAUGGCUUUGGCAUCGCCGUUUAGCCCAUGUCAAUAUGAGAUCUUUGCAAAGUCUUCUCAAGGGGGACCAUGUCCAUGGACUAACGAACGUUAGUUUUUCCAAAGAUCGUGCUUGCAGUGCUUGUAUCGAAGGAAAGCUUCAUGAGAAGGCUCACCCUCCCACGACUCUUAUUUACUCGAAGAGGCCGUUGGAGCUCCUUCAUUUGGAUCUCUUUGGGCCUCCAUCCUUUGAUAGUCUUGGGGGUAGAAAGUAUUGCUUGGUAAUUGUGGAUUAUUAUUCUAGAUACACGUGGGUGUAUUUCUUCAAGAGGAAGAGUGAGACCCAACAAACAGUCAUUGACUUUGCAAAUGAAGCCCAACGUCAACACAAUGCAAAGAUCUUGACAAUAAGAAGUGACAACGGCACCGAGUUCAAGAACUACACCUUGGAUGAGUUUCUCAGUGAUGAGGGGAUCAAGCAUCAAUAUUCCGCACCUUACACCCCUCAACAAAAUGGUGUUGCGGAGAGGAAGAAUCGAACGUUGAUGGAUGCGGCAAGGACCAUAAUGGCGGAGUUCAAGUCUCCAUACAACUUUUGGGCCGAAGCCAUCAACACCGCGUGUCAUGCUUCAAAUCGGCUCUAUCUUCGCAAAGGCUUGAACAAGACACCAUAUGAGAUCCUCACCGGUAACAAGCCCAACCUCAAGUACUUUCGGGUGUUCGGGUGUAAGUGUUUCAUUCUCAAGAAAGGUGUUCGUUUGUCUAAAUUUGAGACUAGAGCUCAUGAGGGCAUAUUUGUUGGUUAUGCUACAAACUCCCAUGCUUACCGUGUUCUCAAUAAGUCCACGGGACUUAUUGAGGAGACGUGUAACAUGGAGUUUGAUGAAAAUAACGGCUCCCAAGUGGAGCAAAGUGGUACUUGUGAUGUAGGUGAUGAAAUUCCUCCCCAAGCCAUAAGAAGAAUGGGUAUUGGAUAUAUCCUACCCAUUGAGGAACCCCUUGUGGCCGAAGGAGAAGGACAAUGGUCCACUCAACUGGAGCCAUCACCAACCCAAGACCCACACGCUUCCGAAGAACAAAGUGAAGGCCCUCAACCUCAUGAACAAGAUCAAGGGCAAGAUCAACCUCAAGAUGGUGGUGAUCCACCAAAUGAUGCCCAAGGUCAAGUUCUUCCCCUCGAGCUAGUUCAAGAUCAAGAACAAGCUCAAGACGACGCUCAAGAUGAUCAAGUAACCCCUCCUCACUUCACUUUCGAGGAGGAAUUGGAGCGUCGUGCCGCUAAGAUCGCUUCCAAGCUCACCACCAAAGGUCAUCUCAUGGAGAAUGUGGUUGGAAGCCUAAGAAAGGGGGUAAGCACUCGUAGACAAUUAGCAAACUAUUGUGAACAUCAUGCGUUUGUUUCUUGUGUCGAACCCCAAAAGGUUUAUGAAGCGCUUGAGGACCCGGAUUGGCUCAACGCCAUGCAUGAAGAACUCAACAACUUCGAACAUAACCAAGUGUGGAAGUUAGUGCCAAGGCCAACCGGGAAUCAUAAUGUCAUUGGAACCAAGUGGAUAUUCAAGAACAAGCAAGACGCUCAUGGAAUCAUUGUUCGCAACAAGGCUCGUUUGGUGGCACAAGGCUACUCCCAAGUCGAGGGUAUCGACUACGGUGAAACCUUUGCCCCCGUUGCUCGCCUUGAAUCUAUUCGUUUGUUGAUUGCUUAUGCUUCUCAUCAUAAUUUCACUUUGCAACAAAUGGAUGUGAAGAGUGCUUUUCUUAAUGGUCCCAUAAAUGAGUUGGUAUAUGUCAAACAACCCCCCGGGUUCGAAGAUCCCUAUUUCCCCAAUCAUGUGUAUCAACUCCACAAGGAGCUCUAUGGCCUUAAACAAGCCCCACGUGCGUGGUAUGAGCAUCUUACGGAGUUGUUACAAGAUUGUGGAUUCGAAAUCGGGAAAAUCGACCCCACUCUUUUUACUAAGAAGGUCAAAGGGGAGUUGUUUGUGUGCCAACUAUAUGUUGAUGAUAUUAUUUUUGGUUCCCCUAACAAAGCUUUCAAUGAAGAAUUUGCCGCUCUCAUGACCCCAAAGUUCAAGAUGUCUAUGAUGGGAGAGUUGAAGUUCUUUCUCGGAUUCGAAAUCAAACAAAGAAGAGAAGGAACCUUCAUCAACCAAGCCAAAUACACUCAAGACAUGCUAAAGAGAUUCAAGCUAAGUGAUGUCAAGCCGGCUUCCACUCCAAUGCCCACCAAGUGCCAACUUGACAUUGAUCCCAAUGGUAAAGCGGUGGAUCAAAAGGUAUAUCGCUCUAUGAUUGGAUCCUUGCUUUACCUUUGUGCAUCUAGACCGGAUAUCAUGUUGAGUGUGGGAAUAAGUGCACGGUUUCAAGACGCACCUAAGGAAAGCCACUUUGUGGCGGUCAAGCGAAUCUUUCGAUAUUUGGCUCAUACCCCAAACUUUGGCCUAUGGUACCCAAGGGGAGCAAACUUCAAGCUUGUAGGUUAUUCGGACUCCGAUUGGGCGGGAGACAAAGUGGAUAGGAAGUCCACUUCCGGAGGGUGCCAAUUUCUUGGUUGCUCUUUGGUAAGUUGGUCUUCUAAAAAGCAAAGUUGUGUGUCUCUCUCGUCCACCGAAGCGGAGUAUGUGGCGGCCGGAAGUUGUUGUGCACAACUCUUAUGGAUGAGGCAAACUUUAAAGGAUUACGGUGUCAUUUGUGACAAAGUGCCUCUUUGGUGUGACAAUGAAAGUGCUAUCAAGAUUUCUCUCAACCCGGUGCAACACUUCAAGACAAAGCAUAUUGAGAUUCGGUAUCACUUCAUCUGGGAUCAUAUUAGGCGAGGGGAGAUCAAGCUCAACUAUGUCAACACUCAUGAUAACCUUGCAGAUAUUUUCACGAAGCCAUUGGAUGAAGCAAGAUUUCGCGAGUGAAGGCAUGAGCUAAAUAUCAUUGAUUCGAGCAAUGUGGUUUGAACCUUUGCACACCCCUCACAUUCAUUGUGCUUUCUUGUCUAGGUGUAGGCAUGGACGUAGGGGGAGUGUUGUUCUCUCAAUGAACUUUCCCUCCCCCCACAAUGCAUAAACUGAUCUCACUCUUUCACAUUAGCCAUUCUUGAUGGUACUUGUGCUUCAAAGACGAGCUUUGGUCAUGGGCCCAAGGAUAAUUCUUCGCGGUGCCAUACCAAGUGACUCAAACAUAGGUGGCCUCGGCCACCGCCCUCUCGUAUAGAGGCGUGUGAUUCUUGUUCUCUUGCUAGUGCUCUUGUUGGUCUUCUUGCCGUUGUUUCCCGUCUUUCGUUUUGCACCAUAUAUGUUGAGUCUGGUUUGAGUUGCGCUGGGCGGUACUACCGUUGUGCAGGAGCGGUACUACCGCUGGAGCGGUACUACCGCUCCAUGGAGCGGUACUACCGCUUAUACGGCUAAGCGGUACUACCGCCCCUCACCACGGUACUACCGCUGAGGGGCGGGGCCAGGGGGUUAAGUCAUGGGCAGGGGUGGUUUCCUCCACCCCAUACCCAUUUGCUUCAUCCCCUGGUUCCUCUUCCUCUCUCUCCAGCGCCAUCUCGCCGCGGGAAGGCUCCGGUGGCCCUCCGUCUCCGGACCAUUCCUCUCCAUUUCCUUCCGUGGAGUCGAUCCCCACCUCGUCCUCUUGCCAUGGAUGCCGGUAUUGCCCCCGUUCCUCUUCUCUUCUUGUCUAGUUUUUAGAUCUCGCGUUUUAGGGGCAAUAGUAGUUGCAUCUCUAGAUUUUUGGCCAAAUCUAGGCUUGAGUAGGUUGGAGAAGGCAACUAGACUCUUUGGAUUGAUGUUUGGUAGGUUUAUUUUUGAAUUUGGCAUCCCCGGUAGUGCCGGAUCUGACCACGGCAGUAGGGGUCCGCCGUGCCCCGUCUCGGGCGGUACUACCGCCCAUCUGGCACGGUACUACCGCUGGAGCGGUACUACCGCUCCACGGAGCGGUACUACCGCUUAUGUGGCUAAGCGGUACUACCGCUGAGCAGGCACGGUACUACCGCUGGAUGCCCAGUUCCAUUGUUUCCUACCACAUGUUGAUCCAUAUUUGUUGUGUUUAUUUGGUUUUGAUCGUUCCUUCUGGUUGUUUCUUGUGUCCGUGUGUUCGGUUCCAGGUGAUGAACAUCCUGAGCAGCAAGUCCGCCGUGUCAACCCCGGGCGUUCAACGUCGAAGCGGUACCGCUCAUCUGAGACUGCAGGUGGUUCUUCCAGUGCUCCACAGCCGGCAGGGGGUGCUUCCUCAAGUGCUAAUCCUCCUCGCAAGAAGAAGAUUGCCAGCCGACCGAAGCCAAGUGGCAAGAAAGUGACUGAGAUGUCUAGCAAGGAAUUCUGGGACAGGCGUCGGCGCAACCCCUAUGAGGAAGACCAAGAACCCAAUCUUGUCAAUCGCCCGUUCUGGAACCGGUUUCAGUAUGCCACAUACUUUGAUGUGAUCAAGGCUAAGAAGAAUCUCUUUGUCAAUGUUCAUUCCAUCAACACGGAUGCUAUGGAGAAGGACCUUGAGUACUUUGGUGAUGCCCUACAGAUGUGCUCUCAGUUGAACAUUCUCAGGAUCAUGCAGUUCAACAAGGACUUUGAUGCAGAUUUGCUGGCACAGUUCUUUGCCACUGUUCACCUAGGAACUGAUGCAGACAGGACUCUGACUUGGAUGACAAAUGGAAAGGUGCUAGCUGUCAAGUGGCAGGCCUUCAUGGGGCUGCUUGAGGUGGAAGAUCAAGGGCUCGAGACUCCAGUUGGUUUUCGUCCUCACCAAGAUGUCACCUCCACUCACAAGCAAGCCCUCUGGCCCUACUGUACUCGGAAGGUCCACCCUGAGACCAGGAAGGAAACCUAUGAGUUGUCUACCUAUCUGGACAUCCUUCACCGUAUCUUCCGCGAGACUCUCUUCCCUCGUAUUGGGAAUCUGGACAUGGUACACUCUUACCUUGUGGACAUGCUUCUCUUCUGCCAGCGUGAGAAGGACGCAAACACCGGCGAGUCCCUGGACAUCUCUCACGUCAUGUGGUCUGAGCUUCUGGCGCCUGUUUCUGAGCGCAAGUGCCCAAUUUAUGGUCCGUUCAUCAUGUUGCUUAUUGAGAGGGCCUGGAGACAUACCUAUCCUGAGGAGCAGCUGGAAACUGGAGAGUUGGUCUCUCAUGAGAUCAAGCGUCUGAGGAAGAAGGAUAAUUGGGGUAGAUCUGGAGCUCCAUCUUCUGCUGCUGCCAUGGAGACCGAGGACGAGGCUGAUGCCGGUGAUGAUGAUGAGGAUUAUGUGCCUCCUGGGACAGAGCCUUCUGCAGCAGAGCCCUCUUGGGCAAAGAAGCUCAAACGCAAGUUGAAGAAGCUGUUCUGCAUGGAGUCUCAUGGUCAGUACAUGACUCAUGUGGCUGAGAAGAAGGCAAGAGGACGUCACACGGAGCUGAUGCGUCAGAUGGGUGCGACAGUCACCAGCGGCUCUGAGGAUCAGAUUACAGAGGAGGAGGAGUGGAUCCAGCAGCACUGUCCGUGGACCAACUCAGAUGCCGAGCAGUUUCCGGGCGAGGACGGCAGUGCAGAUGAUCACGCAGAGUCCUGAUGUUCGAGAUCCUCAGCAUGCUCUCACCUGGAGCCGUAGGUUAGCUCUUUGCCCCUUUUGGUGUCUCGAUGCCAAAGGGGGAGAGAGUUUAGGGAUUUGCGUCGUUGUGUUGCGAGUGUGUCUUUGCUUUUGUGCUUUCGUUAUGUGCUACUUUGUGCUUUUCUUGGACCUUGUGCUUUGCUUGGUUUUGUGUUCAGUGAGACUUUAGUUCGAGUCAUAUGGUGUGAGACAUAUGCUACCCUAUCAUUAUCAUAUCUUUAUCUUUGUCUCUAGUCAUUUGAUAUCUCAUGAGUUAUAUGCUUCAUUAUGUUAUAUAUCCUGCUAUCUUGUAUCUCGCUUAGGUUGUUGGUCUCUAAAAUACAGGGGGAGUGUUGAUCCUAGUAUGUGUGUCGUGCAGUUCAAAGCACUUAUCUUGAUGGCACACAUCUAGGGGGAGCCCGUCCAUAUUUUAGAGAUUUGGGGUUUGCUUAUGUCCUUUGUUUUUUCCCAGUUGUGCAAAUCUCGUAUUGUCAUCAAUCCACCAAAAAGGGGGAGAUUGUAAGGGCAUAUUUAUCCCUAAGAUGUUUUGGUGAUUGAUGACAAUGCUUUUGCGGACUAAUCGUGUGCGUUGAGUGUUUUUCAGAGAUUCAUCCUUUUGGCACGAGACGAUUUCCUCCCCUCGGAGCUUAAAGCGAAGACGGUGUAGUCCUUUCGGAUUAGUUUGGUGGACUAGUUUCAUAGGGAUCACCGUACUAUCAAGAGGGUGUCCGUUUUGGAAAGGCUAGGGCGGAAUCAUCACGUACACUUCCUUUGCCCCUCCCUCCGAGCCUUUCCGUUUCGAUGAUGGGCUUGGUUCUCCUCUCUUUGUGCCCUCUCUGGUCCCAGCGGUAGUACCGCGGGCCAGAGCGGUAGUACCGCUUGGGUGCUACAAGCGGUAGUACCGCUCUGGAGCGGUACUACCGCCCUGGAGCGGUAGUACCGCUCUGGAGCGGUACUACCGCCCAGAGCAGUAGUACCGCUAGUAGCCCCCAUGUGUGUACUAACUCUUGUCCCAGCGGUGGUACCGCGGGACGGAGCGGUAGUACCGCUUGGGUGCCUCAAGCGGUAGUACCGCUCUGGGCGCGGUAGUACCGCUCCAGAGCAGUAGUACCACUAGUGGCCCCAAGCCGUAGUACCGCGGUGGUCUCAUGCUAGUACCGCCUCGAUUCGAGGGCUCCUUUUUCGUGUCGAGUUUUACGGUACUGGCCGCGGCUGUGAGGGGCCAUAGUACCGCUCCUGUGCGGUAGUGCCGCCCACCCUCCGCGGUAGUACCGCUGUGGGCCAAGCGGUAGUACCGCGUUGUGUAGCAGUAGUACCACUUAUAGUGGCAAGCGGUAGUACCGCUGGCACAGCGGUACUACCGCUCUCUUUGGGGCAGAAGGGGGGUAACGGUUGGUUUGUUCCCCCCACUAUAUAAAGGGGUCUUCUUCCCCAAAGUUCACCUCACCUCUUCCCCCAAAAAGCUCCAUUGUUGCUCCAAGCUCCAUUUUCGCCCGAUCUCUCUCCCUAGCCAAUCAAACUUGUUGAUUUGCUCGGGAUUGGUUGAGAAGGCCACGAUCUACACUUCCACCAAGAGAAAUUUGAUUCCCCCCACUUAUCCCUAGCGGAUCUUGUUACUCCUGGGUGUUUGAGCACCCUAGACGGUUGAGGUCACCGCGGAGCCAUAGUCCAUUGUGGUGAAGAUUUGUGGUGUCGUUGGGAGCCUCCAAUUAAGUUGUGGAGAUUGCCCCAACCUUGUUUGUAAAGGUCCGGUCGCCGCCUUCAAGGGCACCAAUAGUGGAAUCACGGCAUCUCGCAUUGUGUGAGGGCGUGAGGAGGAUACGGUGGCCCUUGUGGCUUCUUGGGGAGCAUUGUGCCUCCACACCGCUCCAACGGAGACGUACUUCCCUUCAAAAGGAAGGAACUUCGGUAAGACAUCCUCGUCUUCACCGGCUCCACUCUUGGUUAUCUCGUUCCUUUACUUUAGCUAGUUUACUUGUGUUAUAUCUCUUACUUGCUUGCGUGCUUGUUGUCGUUGCAUCAUAUAGGUUGCUCACUUAGUUGCAUAUCUAGACAACCUAUUUUGAUGCAAAGUUUAAUUUGGUAAAGAAAAGCUAAAAAAAUUGUUAGUUGCCUAUUCACCCCCCCCCCCUCUAGUCAACUAUAUCGAUCCUUUCACCCGGAAGCUCUUUUGGAAAGACAUCUUGAUACUCACAAACGACUGGAAUCUGAGAGAUGGCAUUCAAUUCGCCCUUCUCAUUGAGAGAAAACAACCGAAUGGUUUCAUCACGAGCGGCAUAAAUGAUAACAUCCUCAGAAGAGUGUGUCAAUUGAAUUUCCCUGGCAGCACAAUCAAGUUGAGCCUUGUGCUUAGAAAGCCAGUCCAUCCCGAGAAAAAGAUCAAUAUCCGAGUCACCAAGAACAACUGGAGAAGACAGAAAUUUAUAGUUCCCCAUCUUGAUGGAAACAUCCGGAACCACCAAACUAGAACUCAAACGUUUACCCGGAGAAACGACAUCCAUGGGUUUACUCAGAUGAGAACAAGUGAAUUCAUGCUUGGCAAAAAACGGUCUUCACAUGAAACAAAGCGAAGCACCAGUAUCAAAUAAGACUUUUGCAGGAAUAUCAUUAACUGGAAGAUUACCCAUUAUCACAUCAGUAGACUCCUCUGCUUGAGCUGCAUUCAUCAUGUUCACCUUUGCAGACUUUGGAUUAUGCUUGACCACUGCAUUGCUGGAAGAUCUGACAGGAGGAGGAGGCGGAAGGCGCCUUUGGUUGAAGCACUUGUUAGCAUAGUGACCUUUCUGCUGACACUUGUUGCAAGUCACCUCUGAGAGUGUACGGUGAUAAGGAGCAUUGGACUUUGGAGCUUGAUUCUGAGACUUGUUCUGAUAGCCAGAGUUGGAAGAGUUGGAAGAACCAUGGCCACCUUUGUUCUUCUGCUGGUAAGGCUGACGAAACGGAGGAGGAGGAGGCAACCAGAACUUCUGUUGCUUAGCAGCCACUAGUGAGGAAGAAGAAGACUGAACUGCGUCCCUGACUCUCUUCUUAGAAGCCUCACACUUGAGUUGAGCAGCCUCUUGCUUCAGUGCCAUGUUAUAGAAUUGAUCAAACUGAGUAGGCUCAACAAGAACGAGAGCUAACUGCAUAUCCUCUCUAAGGCCACCUCUGAAGUGAUAGAUCAUGCUCUUUUCAUCAGGAACGUCUUGUUUAGCGAAGCGAGCAAGUUUCUGAAACUGAAUGUUGAAUUGAUACACAGACAUGUUGCCUUGCUUGAGAUUGCGGAACUCCUCACGCUUGCUCUCAACAACACUUUGUGGAAUGUGGUGAGCUUUGAAAUCCCGACAGAAGUCAGUCCAAGUGAUCACACGACCUCCUCUAGAAUCUUUGUAUUGUUGAUACCAAUCAGCAGCUUGGUCCUUGAGCUGAAAAGAAGCGAACUUGACAUAGUCCUCAGGCCUGACAUUGCUACAUUCAAAAUGCUUGUUGAUGUCCACGAGCCAAUCAUCGGCAUCCGUGGCCUCGGCACAGUAGCUGAAAGACUUGGGCUGAUUUGCGAGAAACUGGUUGAGAGUAGCAAAGUGAGACUGAUUGUUGCCUUGAUCUUGAUUUCCUUGAUUGCCUUGCCCUUGGGUGCGUUCUUGCAAGAGUUGCAGAAUCAUCUGAGCAUUGGCGUUGGUGGCUGCCAUGAUAGCUUGCCAUGCCUCCGGAGGCGGAGGUGGUGGCGGAGGGUUCGCCUGACUUCCUUCAUUGCGAUCCGGAUUCUGACGCGUUGGCGGAGCCAUCCUGAAGAGGGUGACAUCCGUUAGCAUCUUGAUAGACAAAUAGAUAAGUAGAAUCAACGGAUAGAAAUUGCAACAUAUGGUCUUCACAAUAAACAUUCGAACGAGGAUGAACGAAUGAAUUCCGUAGUAAAACAUCACACUUCCAUUAAGUUGAGAAGCCACUUGGAAAAAAAAGGUAUGGAAUCAACAUUUGACUUCGAAGCAACUCGAAUACCACAAUUGAAAACAAAACAAAGUAUUGGCUUGCAGAAUAAGCCGGAACAAACAUAUGACAGAGAUUUCGUCCGAAGUUUUCAUGGUGGGGCCCACACGGGCUCGAUCGUACAGCACCAUCACGUAAAAGGCUGUGCACAUGACAUACGAAGCGUCCCCGAGUCGGCAUAGCCAAGGACUCUUUAAGACACUACGAGACCACUGUAAAACCAACCGUGGAAAGGCGGACCACUAGACGUCGAACCCCAAUCUCAUAUCAUGCGUCUGUCGGAAAGAUAUCCUAAGAGCUACUUGAAUUCCCACUUAUAAACUCCCGAAACUUUCUGGUUAUGCAAUCUGGUGUUGGGGAUACAAGGGACACAAAAUAUAUCACCCAAACUAGCAAUCCCUAGAUCCAGCUGUAUCCAUCCGUCAACACAUAACCAAGAAACCUUCGGAAAUCGUGUACCUCAACCUUCGAAAAGCAUCCGUUAUACGAGUUAUGGCAAUACUCCCAAACUCCCGCCCCAGUACUGGGUGGCGUCGAGGUGAUCUCACCAACAACUGCAUAAAAGAGAUUUCGAUGUCGGCGAAACUCAGGUAUUCCAGAACUGCAACGAUAAAAUUGUGACGACAACACCUCGGAGCUCAACUCCCCGGGACACUGCCACAACCCCUAAAUGUCAGGAGGCACCAAGAACAAUGUUCUCGUCACAAAACCAUCGGAACGAUUCCAAGAUACCCGCGUCAUCCUAAAAAAAAAUUAGUGAAAUUUGAGGAGAGAAGAGUCAAAACUUCUACGUCAGGAGGCCUCACCAGAGCGACGAAGGGACUGAGGAGUAAAAAGAAUCCUACUCUCCGAUAUAUAUAAUCCUAAGACUCAAAACAUUUUUGUUCUAGACUCAACAACGCCAGCGAUUCGAUCAAGCAGGGGGCUCCUAAGUCGGGGAUGGCUCUGAUUACCAACUUGUAACGCCCACGAUGCGGCUAUAUCUCCCACGUGUCGAGGCACGACUUAGAGGCAUAACCGCAUUGUGGUUUUGUCGCAAGAAGGGUCAUCUUCACACAAUCCCAUGUAAUGAACAAGAAUGGGAUAAAGAGUUGGCUUACAAUCGCCACUUCACACAAUACAUAAAUAUAAUUCAUACAUCAUCCAAAAUACACACAUAGACCGACUACGGUCAAGAUCCAAAUGAAAAUAAGAUAACCCCAAAUGCUAGAUCCCCGAUCGUCUCAACUGGGCUCCACUACUGAUCAUCAGGAAAAGACACAUAGUAACGACCACGUUCCUCAUCGAACUCCCACUUGAGGUCGAUCUCAUCAACUGCACUGGCAUCGUCGGCACCUGCAACUGUUUUGGUAGAAUCUGUGAGUCACGAGGACUCAGCAAUCUCACACGCGCGAGAUCAAGACUAUUUAAGCUUAUAGGUAAGGAUGGUGAAAUGGGGUGGAGCUGCAGCAGGCACUAAGCAUAUAUGGUGGCUAACAUACGCAAAUGAGAGCGAGGAGAGAAGCAACGGAACGGUCGUCAACUAGCAAUGACCAAGAAGUGAUCCUGAACUCCUACUUACGUUCAUGCAUAACUCAAACCGUGUUCACUUCCCGGACUCCGCCGAGAAGAGACCAUCACGGCUACACACACAGUUGAUGUAUUUUAAUUGGGUCAAGUGGCAAGUUCUCUACAACCGGACAUUAACAAAUUCCCAUCUGCCUCAUAACCGCGGGCACGGCUUUCGAAAGAUAAUACCCUGCAGGGGUGUCCCAACUUAGCCCAUUAUAAGCUCUCACGGUCAACGAAGGAUAAACCUUCUCCCGGAAAGACCCGAUCAGUCUUGGAAUCCCGUUUUACAAGACAUUUCGUCAAUGGUAAAACAAGACCAGCAAAGCCGCCCGAAUGUGCCGACAAAUCCCGAUAGGAGCUACACAUAUCUCGUUCUCAGGGCACACCAGAUAAGUCAAGCUACGAGUAAAACCAGACCUCGAGUUUCCCCGAGGUGGCCCCGCAGGCUGCUCGGUUCGGACCAACACUCGAAGGAGCACUGGCCCCGGGGGUUUAAAUAAAGAUGACCCUCGGGCUCGCGAAAACCCGGGGGAAAAAGGCUUAGGUCGCAAAUGGUAAAACCAAGGUUGGGCCUUGCUGGAGGAGUUUUAUUCAAGGCGAACUGUCAAGGGGGUCCCAUAAAUCACCCAACCGCGUAAGGAACGCAAACUCAAGGAACAUAAUACCGGUAUGACAGAAACUAGGACGGCAAGAGUGGAACAAAACACCAGGCAUAAGGCCGAGCCUUCCACCAUUUACCAAAUAUAUAGAUGCAUUAAUCAAAUAAGAGAUAUUGUGAUAUCCCAACAUAUCCAUGUUCCAACAUGGAACAAACUUCAACUUCACCUGCAACUAGCAACGCUAUAAGAAGGGCUGAGCAAAAGCGGUAACUUAGCCAAACAACGGUUUGCUAGGAAAAGAUGGUUAGGGGCUGACAUGGCAAUAUGGGAGGCAUGAUAUAGCAAGUGGUAGGUAACGCAGCAUGGCAAAAGAACGAACAACUAGCAAAGCAAAAAUAGAAGUGAUUUCGAGGGGUGGUCAUCUUACCUGCAAGGUUCUCAGAGUUGUCGAAAGCUUGAUCCUCAUAAGCGUACUCAACAGGUUGCCCGUUCACGAACUCGUCUCCCGGCUCUACCCAAGACAAGAACACAAGCAAUGGAACCACAAUCAAUCACGGUAACUGCACAAGCAACAUGAUGCAAAACAUGAAUGAUAUGCAAGAUAUGAUAUGCGGUGCAUGUGCGUGCUCCGGAAGGAAAAUGAUGGACAAGGCAGUAACUUGACAAACCAAGCAUGCCACUGGAAAUAUGAGAUGAUUUCGGUUGAAAUCGAUAUAAAGAUCACCGGAAACGGAUGCACGGUUUGCAAAUGGCAAGCAAAACAAGAAUGACACGAAUCUGCAAUUAACAGCAUGAUAGCACUUAGAAUGCAAUAGGUAACAAUGCUACAGCACUCCAACGUAGCAAAAAAGCAUAUGGCAGUAAUCUACCGGAGAUGCUUGACAAAAGAUGAACACUGAGAUACGGCUAGAUCACACCACAGCAGGUUCAAACAAGCAUGGCAAAAGUGCAAAAGAUAACAGGUUCACAGACUUUGUGAAAUUACUGGACAUGACUGAAACAGCAUCCGGUAGCAAUGUUCAGAGCACGAAAUCAACAUGCUACAGGAACUUAACAUGGCAAAACAAGGCAUGGCAGUGUUCUACUAAAUGCAUAUGACAAAAGUCCCUUACUGACCAUAAGCCAAAAAGGACCAGAAGAUAUAAUGGCAACCAUGCAAACAUAGCAAGUUUCGUUAACAGGUUUCAGACUUAGCAGAAAACAGAGCAUGGCAGAAACAACAAUAUGAAGGCAUCUUGGUGAGCUUGACGCACUCACUACAGAGCAAUGCAUGACAAAACAAGCAUACCAACAGCAAGAUGGCAUGUUUAUGAAGCUAUCCAUGGCAACAUAAAAUACAUACCAUGUAUGAAACAACUAGAACAAGCUUGGCAAAAUUGCAUAUCAUGUAAACAAUCUGCCAGAAAUAUUUUAUAGCAAAAGUAGAGCAAGAUUGAGUCAUGCUAUGGCACUCCAUAAUUGCAAACAAGGGUAGUAAUGGAUCAAUUACAACAAUACCUACAAAACAUCCUUACUGAACAUCUCCAAAAUAUGCAUGGAUCUCUCUGUAGCAUCAAGUUUACAUGGCAACAAAAUAACAGCAGACAAAGACUUGGAGGAAUUACUAAGUCCCUGAAAUCAGAAACAUUACGGAGCCUAGUGUGCAUGCUUGUGCUAGUCACCACAGAGAUCAUAAAAAUACAUGGCAUACACCACUGGAAAGAUGGCAUGGCAUACAACAAAACACAUGUAGAGCUCAUGCCCAUAAGAUGCACAGAUUAAAUGCAACAAAAAUAACAAAUCCUCAAGUUCUGCUAAGUAACAGCAGAUAACAGCAAGUAGCACUCUUGCACCAGAGAUUUGGGCAUCAAGAUGAGCUCAAAUGAACCUGGUGCAAUGGAACAAAAUUAAGAGCAUCACGAGGCGAACAUUUUGAUAUAUUACACGCGCGAAAUAGAGCUAUAUGCAGAGAGUUAUGAUGCUAUGAAGAUGGGCACAUACUGUAAAAUUAUAAGGACUUGGGAUUUUCGGGGAGAGGUGAAAAAGUCGACCCGUUCUCAGAUCCGAUCGGGGCCGGCUCGGUUUCGACGGUGGCCGGAGCUGGGCUGCUGCCGGCGGCGGCGCGGAGGAGGAGGAGGCGCCGGGGCACGGGGGAGAUGGCGGCGAGGAGGAAGGAGGACGGCGGCGAGGGCGGCGGUGCNNNNNNNNNNNNNNNNNNNNNNNNNNNNNNNNNNNNNNNNNNNNNNNNNNNNNNNNNNNNNNNNNNNNNNNNNNNNNNNNNNNNNNNNNNNNNNNNNNNNNNNNNNNNNNNNNNNNNNNNNNNNNNNNNNNNNNNNNNNNNNNNNNNNNNNNNNNNNNNNNNNNNNNNNNNNNNNNNNNNNNNNNNNNNNNNNNNNNNNNNNNNNNNNNNNNNNNNNNNNNNNNNNNNNNNNNNNNNNNNNNNNNNNNNNNNNNNNNNNNNNNNNNNNNNNNNNNNNNNNNNNNNNNNNNNNNNNNNNNNNNNNNNNNNNNNNNNNNNNNNNNNNNNNNNNNNNNNNNNNNNNNNNNNGGCGGCGCGGGACACGUGGCGGAUGCGGGGUGGCUGCGGGAUCCGUCCGGCGGCGACCGGACGUGUCCGGCGGCGGCGGGGAAAAAUGCUAGGGUUUGAUCUGCGUAUUAUUUCGGGAGGGGAGGCAUAUAUAUAGGUAGAGGGAGCUAGGAGGCUCCAAAUAAGGUGCGGUUUUCGCCCACACGAUCGUGAUCGAACGACCUAGAGCAUGGAAGAGAGUUUGGUGGGUUUUGGGCUGUUUAGAGAGGGGUUUUUGCUGCCCACACAAACGGACAUUGCGGUUACCCGGUUAACCGUUGGAGUAACAAACAACCUCCAAAUAGAACGAAACUUGACCGAUGGCCUACCGGUGGUAUACCAAGGCCACUUGACAAGCCUCGAUCCAUUCCGAGAACGUUUGACACCCGCUCACAAAAGAAAAACAAGAGGGGUGCGCCGGAGGAGGUAGGAGUGCCGGAUUGCAAAACGGACAACGGGGAAAAUGCUCGGAUGCAUGAGACGAACACGUAUGCAAAUGCAAUGCACAUGAUGACAUGAUAUGAGAUGCAUGACAUGAACAAAAUGCAAAACGAAAAACAAAACCCGACCACGAAGGGAAUAUCAUAACACAUGGCCAAAAAUGGCACGAGUCGGAAUUACAAAUAUGGAAAGUUACAUCCGGGGUGUUACAUAGAGUUGUAGCAGUCCAGGAUGAGGAGGGUGGGGUUACACAUGUUGCAAAGGAGACUGAUGAGAAGGAGGAAGAGUACGCACUGCGGUGUGGGGAAUCAGUUGGCGAAGACAAAGAUGAGAUUCGCACAUCGGCGGCCCCGAGGAGGAGGACCGCCGGGCCAAAUGAAAAUACUAGGCUGGAACUGCUGUGGUAUGCUCUCCAACACGGCAGUUCGUGAGCUUCUAGAUCUACAGAAGCGUACAAGGGCAAAUUUAAUUUUCCUUUCUGAAUCCCAUUUGAAUAAUUGUAAAGCCGAUGAGCUUCGUCACGUAUUAGGUUUUGACUCUAUGUUUGUAGUGGAAAGUGAUGGUAAGGCUGGUGGCCUCGCUUUGUUUUAUCAUGAGUCCAAUAAAAUUGAGUUGAACUAUGUCUCGCCCCAUUUUAUUGAUAUUGUUUUUAUGUAUGAGAAUGUGGUUCGGUGGCGGUUCACGGGCUUCUAUGGUCACCCGAAAUGAAAUGAACAACAUCUAUCUUGGGAUGACAUUCGCAAUUUACAUAGUAAGAGCAACCAUCCUUGGGUGGUUUUGGCGGAUUUUAAUGAAAUUUUAUAUCCCUCGGAAAGAGGGUGGUGUAGCUAGACCACUUGGUAUGAUGAGAGAGUUCCGUGAAUGCCUAAUGGAUUGUGGGCUGGAAGAUCUAGGCUAUAAGGGGGACAUAUUCACUUGGAGGAGAGGCGAAAUACGUGAGCACCUUGAUCGGGCAGUUUGUAACUUAGCAUGGGCAAACAAAUUUCCACGAGCGGCAACUAUCAAUGAAGAAUAUGUUCAUUCUGACCAUCGCCCAAUUGUACUGGAUAUGGAGUAUUGGGAUGAAAAAAUAUUUAAAAGCCCAAAGGGGCGUGUUAAACAAUUUGAGGCGAGAUGGUUGAAGGAAGAGACGGUCACUGAAAUCGUUAAGGCAUCUUGGGAGAAAGCAAAGCUAGCAGGUAUUGGACCCUCACUUGCUGACAGAACGAGAGCAGUGCAUGCCAAUCUACAUACUUGGGACCAGGAAACGCUAAAGGGACCAGAGGUGAGAAUUAGAAAAUUAAAAAAAGAGUUGGAGAGACUAAGGCGUGGCCCAUUGAAUACGGAAUCUCGAUGUCGUCAGAAGGAAAUUAUUGUGCUAAUUGAAAAUAUUUUGGAGCAAGAGGAAAUAUUCUGGUUAUAAAGAGGACAGGCAAAUUGGUUGAUGCAUGGGGAUCGUAAUACGUCGUUCUUUCAUAAUGCUGCCACAGCCAGGAAAAAAAGAAAUAAUAUAAAGAAACUAUUAGACGAGUCUGGAAACUGGUUAACAGAUAAGGAAUUGACGAAUCAUAUUACUGGAUAUUUUACAAAGCUUUUUACAUCGGAAGUUCAACACCCGAAUCAAGAUGUUUUAUCACUUGUUCGAAGGAGAGUGUCAAACGAAAUGAAUGAUGCUCUACUUGCCCCUUAUACUGCGGAAGAUGUUCGCAAGGCUUUAUUCGAUAUUGGGGACUUGAAAACUCCAGGGCCAGAUGGACUCCAUGCUAUCUUCUAUAAAAGGUUUUGGCCCAUGAUGGGGGAAGAAUUAAUUGAGGAGGUUCUGAUAGCAAUCAACACAUGCACUAUACCGAAGGGUUGGAAUGAUACGGCGAACGUGAUGAUUCCUAAAAUUAAUACACCAGAGAAGGUAAUCCAAUUUAGGCCGAUCAGCUUAUGUAAUGUGCUAUAUAAAAUAAUUGCAAAAAUGGUGGCUUCUCGAUUGAAGGUUUUUUUACGAGAAAUUAUUAGCCCAACACAGAGUGCAUUUGUACCGGGUAGAUUGAUAAUGGAUAAUAUUUUAGUGGCCUACGAAUGUUUUCACACAAUCAAGAAUAAAAGAGAGGGUAGAGAGGGCUUGUGUGCUAUAAAACUUGAUAUGCACAAAGCCUACAAUAGAGUUGAGUGGACUUUUUUGAAGAAGAUUAUGUUGAAAUUGGGUUUUCGUCGUGAGUGGGUUAAUGUGAUUAUGCAAUGCGUCUCAACCGUAGAAUACAAAGUAAGGAUCAAUGAAGAGGAAAGUGAGAGAUUUAAGCCUACGAGAGGGUUGAGACAGGGGGACCCGCUAUCACCUUACCUUUUUUUGUUGUGCACAGAAGGAUUGAAUGCCUUGCUUGCGCAUGCUGAGGAGAAUGGAAACAUUUCAGGAGUUAAAGUCUGUAGAGACACCCCGCCAGUCAUAAAUCUUCUCUUUUGCGGAUGACUCAUUGAUCUUAAUGAAAGCCAACCAACAUAAUGUGGAAAACCUGAAAUCAGCACUAGAUUUAUAUUGUGCGGCGUCGGGACAGCUGGUAAGCAUUGAAAAAUCCAGUAUUUUCUUCAGCCCUAAUACAAAGGUAGAGAUCAGAGAACAAUUGUGUACAACGCUAAAUAUAAUGACGGAGGCUCUCACUGAUAAAUAUUUUGGCUUACUAGCAAAUGUGGGUGUUGAUAAAACAGACUGCUUUAGUUUUCUGAUUGAACGUAUUGUUAAGAGAAUUAGUGGUUGGAAGGAAAAAUUACUAUCUUCCGGGGGGGAGGAGAUCCUAUUAAAGGCGGUGAUCCAAGCCAUACCUACCUAUGCACUGUCGGUCUUUAAAAUUCCUAAAAAAUUGUAAAGGAAUCAUUGACGCGAUGUCACAUUCUGGUGGGAAGACGAGGAGAACCAGAAGAGGAUGCAUUGAAUGGCCUGGUGGAAAAUGUGUGUACCAAAAUACCAAGGAGGAAUGGGAUUCCGUGACAUCCACUAUUUCAACCUGACUCUGCUUGCAAAACAGGCAUGGCAUCUCCUUGAUAAUCCUGACUCCUUGUGCGCUACUAUUCUAAGGGCCAAGUAUUAUCCUAAUGGUGAUUUGCUGAACUCCAAGCCAAAGCACGGUGCUUCCUUCACCUAGCAAAGCAUUAUGGCAGGCAUCAGUACUCUCAAGCGAGGUUAUAUUUGGCGAGUGGGGGAUGGACAAAACAUCAAUAUUUGAGAAGAUGUCUGGAUCCCAAAUUGUGCCACUAGGAAGAUUGUGACCCCUAGGGGCGCAUUUGUUAUCAAAAGUCGUAGAUUUGAUUGACCCGGUCUCCAAUAAUUGGGAUGAGGACCUGAUUAGACAAACUAUGUGGACCAUUGACGCACAACGGAUUCUUUUAAUUCCAAUUUCGCAACAUAAUAUGACAUAUUUUAUUGCCUAGAGUUAUACGAAAAAUGGUAUGUUUUUGGUACGGUCUGCUUACUCUGUGGAGUGGAACUAUCAGUAUGGGAGCAAACUAAAAUAUUCUAACGGGAUGGGACGGAGCACACCUAACCCUAUAUAGUGUCAGAUAUGGAAGUUAUCUUGUCCGGCUAAAGUCAAAAAAAAUUAUGCCGGACACUACAUGGCACUCUCCCAUGUCAGGCAACACUCACUAAUACACACAUGAAGGUCUCGUCCUCUUGCCCUACCUGCUCUCAGGGUGUAGAGGAUACGAAGCACUUGCUUUUCCUAUGUAGAAAAGCAAAGGAGGUUUGGAAAAGGCUAGGGUUGGAUAUGAUUAUUGAGAGAGCUUGUGAGAUUGAUCGUGCUGGAGAGGCAACAAUGGAAUACCUAUUACUCCUUCCACAUCAAGAUCUACGCAUUAUGGGGUACGAAAAUAUUCGAGAAAUGAUACUAUCUCAGCUUAGUAUCUAUGGUGGGAAAGACGGAAAUUAGUGCACAAGGAAUUAACUCAAAAUGCGACCCAGAUCUCAAUGGGGAUCAUAGCUCUUACAUAUAAUUUUGUAAAUGCAUAUCUUCAAAGGCGUCCAUGAAAAAGGGGGGGUUGGCAAUGUCCUUCUAGGGGCUUUGUGAAACUCAAUGUUGACGCCUCUUUUGACCAUGACUUGCUGGAGGGUACGAUGGGGAUAGUAUUGAGAGACGACAAAGGUAAGUUUAUUGCAGAGGGGAAUGGAAAGAUAAACUACUGCGCGGAUGUUCUCAUGGCGGAGGCCUUAGCUCUCAAAUUUGGCCUAAAUUUAGCGCAAAGGGCGGGAUGUAAUCGUCUAAUCAUCAACUCUGACAAUCUGGAGGUGAUUGAGACCAUGCAGGACGGAGGACAGUCAGCGAGAGCGGCGGCGGCAAUCUUCGAUGACUGCUAUCACUAUGCUUGUGAUUUUAUCAUGACUAAAUUCAAACAUUGUAAUAAAGAGGCAAAUAAAGUAGCACAUGAACUUGUUAGAUUAGCUAGAUUUUUUUCUGACUUCAGACUGGUUUGAGGAGUCUAUUAGUGAAAUUGUAACGUUUCUCACAAAUGAUGUAUUGGUUAUUGCUAAUGAAUAAAAUUUCGUUUUAUUUCAAAAAAAAAAGGCUGCCAAUGUAGCGACUGUGGUAGAAUCGCUUUUACUCUUGCACUUAAAGGCGGCUAGCUCAUCUCAAGAAAAAGAAAAAAAGGCAGCUACCUGGCAAAGCCAGAACUGGUCCUAGUUAACUAUGGAUGGAUGGAGGUGUAUCUCCGGCGGAUCUAUCUUUGAUGGAUUUGCUCGGAUCUCGUUGGUGUUCGUCUACGUUCGUGUGUCUUUGGAUUGGAUCCUUCCGAUCUACUCCCUCCGUUCGGAAUUACUUGUCUCGAAAAUGGAUGUAUCUAGAACUAAAAUACGUCUAGAUACAUCCAUUUCUGCGACAAGUAAUUCCGAACGGAGGAAGUAUGUUAUUCUUCAUCUGCGGCGAUUGCUGUUCUGGUGUGCUGGUCCUAUGGGGCCUUAGCACGACGACUUCCCAACUGUCUACUACAACAAGUUGUGUCCGACACUGACGAUGGAGGGGCGAUGACGGCGGCGCGCCUUCGGCUCGCUUCAGUGCUUGUAGUCGUCGCUAGCUGGUCUACGGAUCUGGAUGUAAUUUUUAUUAUUUUUGAUAUUCAUUGUACUGUCAUGAUUGAAGAUGAAUAGAUCGGAAGAUUUCUAAAAAAAACUAUGGAUGGAUAAAUAUCAUAUGUAGCAUGUGCUGGAAACGUCGGUAGGUUCCUUCCUUCCUUCCUUGGCCUGUCCAGCUAAUUGCGUCGUCAACGUUGUGCGGCGAUGCGUUGGAGCAUUCUAUAAUUCGUCUUCUCCCUUCUACUUCCCACCAACAUCAAUCAUGGACUCGUGUCCUUUUCCAUCCACCUGUUUGGCGUAUUACCACCGCACGUGAGCUGUCCUCCGUGUCAUGGUUAUCAUCUUACGCGCGGAAGGAUGUCCAUUCAUUUAGUCAGCCCAUGCGAAAUUCAACGUAAAUGCAAGUAGCAGAGUUACCAUAUUUGCAGUCGUUACAUGCAAGUAUGCAACAGGCUUGGUAAUAUUUUGGAGGCUGGCGAGGUGAUGUGGGGAAACUCGCUCAGAGUCAUCAUUUCUCAUCCUUGGAAACAUUUCUUCUUCUUUUUAUUUAAACACUUUGAUUAAAGAUUUGCAAUAUUUUAAAAUUAGUCAUGCACAUAUCUUCAGCAAGUUACAUGAACAAAGCAUUAAACCAACAUGUACAAGUCCGAUGUGUGCACCUUGCUCCCCUUCGAUGGCAAGUGACACCGCUAGGAGGAGUGUGCCUUACUUGAUCCAAACAACCUGCCAGCGGUUGCGCAUAUUUUGUAUGCCCCAUCGAUUUGUAAGAAAUUUGAUAAUAUGGUCCGUUUGAUACCUUUCAAUAUUUUGCAUUCGUUUGAUCUUUCUCAGUAACCAUGUCAAGAGUAGUCUCUUGAAUCAUGCCCCCACACACAUAGAAGACUUUUUCUACUUCAUUGACAAUUCUCCUCCCAGCUCUGGUGUGACUUAAUUGGUUAUACCUGGCAAUGGCGGGUUCUUUGCGUCGUUACCCUGAUGGCGGCAUUGCUCAGAGUUUGCUUAGAUUGGAUCUCCAGGGUGAAAACCCACGAUCCGCGUGGUUAUUGGAUCUGGCGACAGCGACGCUUUGUGUCGUUUCCUUCUUGAAGGCGUUGCUUUUGGAGAACCCUUCUCGCAGUCCUUGGGAUGUCAAAAGAUGGUUGGCACCGAUGGUUACUGUUGUAUAUCGUCAAUUGUUGUUUUCCUUGCUUCAUUUUUUUUCUUCCUCCGCCUAGGCAUAGCAUUGGUCUUUGUAUGACUUUGCACUCUGCCGGGGUGGUUAUUCAUGUGUGUGCUGUGUUGACUGUGUGCAUCCUAAUUAUGCAGAGGCCAGGUGUGUACUCAUUAUGAUUAUAUCCCUCGAUGCUACUCUAUGAGUCAAUAUAAAACACCCUUUAUCGAAAAAAUAUCGAACUCUAUUGCAUACGAGUACUCUAUUGAAUUUAACUGUUUUGUACUGUUUUUGUGGCACUACCCGGUGUAUAGGAGCAAGCAUUUAUUUCACUCAGAUUAUUUUAUUUUUUCAUCACACGGCCAAUUCUCCCAUACUUUUAGUCCGAUUUUAAAAUUUGUAACACUUUUAACUUUGAACUAAUGAUUUGAUUUAGAAUCCAUUUGCAGAUUCAUGUCCAUGUCAUUUAAAUCUCUAAAACAAGAUCAAACUUGAACAUGUUCUGAACAAGUUUAAAUUCAAAUCUGAUGCCAUAAUGAAACUUAUAUGAAAUGUGAGACGAUACGACAAUGAAACCGGAGUGAACCAAUAAUGAAAACAUGCAAUAGAUAAUGUAAUGAACCAUAAUAAAACUUAUAUCAAGCUUGAGAUGAAACAUGGAUGAAUUGUGGAAUGAAACAAUAACAGAAACAUGCAAGGAGGAAUGUAUGAACAAAUACUGAAAACAUAUAAAUUGAAAUGGUAUGGAAAUGAUAUCGUAUAGAAAAUAUGUGAAGAGGACACUUUUAGUGCCCAACCUAACCAUGAAAGAUAAUUUAACAAGAUGAUAUGAAACUUAUUUGAAAACUCUAAAAAUAGAAAUGAAAUCUGAAUGCAAUAGUAUUGAAAUCCGGAAUGAAAAAUUAGCAAAACCAUGUAAUAGAAAAAAUAAUGAAACAUAUAAAAAUAUGAUGAAACACACAUGUAAUAGUUUCAUAUAAGUUUUAAUAUGGUUCAUAAUUUGAAUUUGAAUUUUUUUCAAAAGUGUUCAAAAUUGAUAUUGUUUUGAAGAUUUAAAUAUUUUGAAUGCUAAUAUUUAAACAGUUUGUCAAUCGGAUAUUUGGUUCAAAAGAUAUAAUUGGUACAAACUAUAUAAUCAAACCUAAAAGCAGCAUGGGUGUAACUAUGUGUGGGUUGGUUCAAAAAAUGGCUACCUUUUGACUACAAAACAUACCCACGAGUCACUUUGCUGUGGUGGCUAAUUGCUAGUUCCGGCAAAGAAAAGGCUAAUUCUAGUUGUACAACACAUGUCAUAGUAAUAGUAUAGCAAUUGAUAAUACUUAUCUUGUAUGUAUACAUGCAUGGCGUGCAUGUAGGACACGGUAAAACCCGAUUCCGCGAAUGUAUCCUUUUGUACGUCUAGCAUCCCUUUUUCCUGUUUUCCUUCCGUCCCUGGCGGCUGGAACCCUAGCCGCCGCCAGAGGAGGCUGAUCUUCCAACGCCGCUCUCCGGCGGCUCCCCUCCGCCGGCGACCUCGGUCGUCGGUGGUGAGGGGGGUCGCCGGAUCCACACGUGUGGAUCGCUUUUACUCUCUCGUACUUUAGGUUUUUAGGUUGUUCAUCGUCUUUGCUCCGGCGGCGACGAUGACAAUGCUGAAUAAAGAUUCUUCAGGUCCUUCACUGACGAGGUCAUCGGUCCUAUGGUUGGGGUGGAUUUGAAAACCAGACUGUUCAAGCAAGGAUGGCGUGAAGGCGGCGGCAUCCUCGUGGUGGACCUGUGUCCUCGGGCUCCGUCGUUGCGACGGCGUUUGCUCCAGCGUCGGCGCGGAGCUUGGGAGGUAGUCCAGGAGCGGAUGCAGAUUGUGGUCUGCAUCAACGACAUCUGGAAGACGGAGCAUGUGCUGGGCUCGUGGUUCGUGGAUGGCAGAUAUGGUUUCCUCCUUCGGCGUUUUAGUCGUGGUGGGGUGCCAGAUCUGGAGUUCGAUGGCGUGUCCGGGGUGUUGCCCCGGUCUGAUUCGUUCCACGGCAAUGGCUUCACUUUUGGUGAGCCACCUUGAAGGUCCGCAAAGCUGUAUAUCAGCGAUGGAGCCGCGUCGAGCUCGGGUGAGGAGGUGAUCCGUCAUUUUUUUCUUCAGUGACUGCUGCGGUGGUGCCGGAGGCAGGUGACGGGCAUUGGUAUCAAGCUCAGAGAUGUUCUACUAUCUUUUCAGUUUUGUCAUGUCGGAAAAACCGAUUCCGCGAAAAUCCUCUCCGGUUGAAUGUCCAGUAUCCCGCUCGCGGUCGGCAGACAUUUGACAUGUUGUCCGUUUGGUGAAGCUGACUAGAUAUCUCCCACAGCCUUUAACAUGAAGAAGCGUGCACGCUCAGUUUAAAGCUGCUGAAAAAUAUUGGCGAUCAAGCCAGCCUGGGACGACGAUUCUGCUAGACUAAGGGGGCGUUUGGUUCAGGAAUUUUUUAGUCCCAGAGACUAGAAAAAGUCCAUAGGAACCAAACAGGAGGGACUUUUUCUACAGGGACUAGAAAAAGACUCUACUAGAGAGUCUUUUUUUAUUAGUCCCUGGACCGACAUACCCACCUUGCCUCUUCCGGAGAAGGUACCGAAUGCGCCGUAGUUUGUUUGUGAAAAUUGUCACCGAUUGUGAGGCCGCCUCAGAUUACUUCAAGCGUCGUAGAUCCGCUGCCAGUAUCAUGGGGUUUAGUGCGUACCAAAAGAUAUCGACUGCAAUGCGGGUGCUCGCCUAUGGCAUACCCGCGGACUAUACGAACGAGUAUCUUCGCAUUGGACAAGAUACAACCACGGCGCCUGUUCGUAGGUUUGCAAAAUUGGUCAUCCGGUUGUAUGGUGAUGAGUAUAUUCGGGCACCCAACGAGGAAGAUACAAAGAGAUUGAUGGAGAUGAAUGAAAAAAGGGGAUGGCCGGGGAUGCUUGGUAGUCUUGAUUGCAUGCAUUGGAAAUGGAAAAAUUGUCCAAAGGCAUGGCAAGGAAUGUAUUGCGGUAAAAGCCGUGAUGCUACCAUUGUGCUUGAGGCCGUGGCAUCGGAGGACACAUGGAUUUGGCAUGCAUUUUUUGGUUUGCCGGAAACACUCAAUGAUAUCAGUGUGCUCAAUAGAUCUCCUUUGUUCAAAAGAUUAGUUUCUGGGGAUGCUCCAACUUGCAACUACAAAAUAAUGGACAAUGAGUACUCAAUGGGAUACUAUCUCACCGAUGGAAUUUAUCCCGAUUGGGCAACUCUUGUGAAGUCCAUCAAGGAGAAAAAUGGGGUGCCCUUAACCAGAAAAGAGGCUCAUUUCACCAAGGCACAAGAGGCAGCCCGCAAGGAUAUUGAGAGAGCUUUCGGUGUUUUGCAAGCAAGAUUUGCCAUAGUUCGGGGUCCAGCUCGUUUUUGGGACAAAAAAACCUUGGAGAACAUCAUGAAAUGUGGUGUGAUUCUACACAACAUGAUCAUCGAGGAUGAGAGAGGGUUAAAACUGCCUUGUUUCUAUGACAAUGUUGGUACUCGUGUGCAACCGGAAAGAAACCCUUGUCGCGUACAAGCUUUUCUUGAAGCACAUCGUCAGAUUGAGGAUGCAAAUACUCAUGGUCAGCUCCGGGAUGAUCUAGUAGAGCACCAGUGGCAGUUGGCUGGGCGGCGCCAAGGCCUAUGAUCUACCUUUGUUUACUUUUCUAUGUCCUAUUUGAUUCGAACAAUUAUUAUAAUUUGCUUCAAAACAUUGUUGUAAUAAAUUGAAUGAUUAUUAUGUGUUUGAAAGUACUAUUCGAUGUUAUUGAGAUGAUGAAAAUUGUGAUAUGUCAAAUGACAGUUUAAGGGUUGGGGUUGGGGCAAAAACUAGAACCCUCAAACCCAACCCUUAUAACGCCCCUGUUUUUCAACUCUUAAAAGUGUUAAAAAUGGCCAAUUCUUAAUCCUUAAAACUAGUUUUAGAUUUAAGGGUUUGAGGACUUUACUAGACAUGCUCUAAAGGGGUGCUCCAGUCAGCUACAGCUGCCUAGCCCUAGCGGAGCUCAGUUCCACGUGUCGAUAUGUCUCUCUGUAUCUGCCUCCAAAAUCCCCUAUAUAUACCCCGUUCGAGCUAAAUAACCCUUCAUCCAAACAAGCGAACACAAGCUACUAGCCAGUACUUGGAGAAACCAACAAUGGCGCCGCUCGCAGCCCGGAGGCCAGCCUGCCUCCUGGCCCUCCUCUCCGUCGCCGCGGCCUUAUUCCUGACCCCGACGGCCUUGGCGGCGGGGGGAAAGACCGGCCAGGUGACGGUGUUCUGGGGACGGAACAAGGCCGAGGGCUCCCUGCGUGAGGCCUGCGACUCCGGUAUGUACACCAUGGUCACCAUGUCCUUCCUCGACGUCUUCGGCGCCAACGGCAAGUACCACCUCGACCUCUCCGGCCAUGACCUCUCCUCCGUCGGCGCCGACAUCAAGCACUGCCAGUCCAAGGGCGUCCCUGUCUCCCUCUCCAUCGGCGGCUACGGCACCGGCUACUCGCUGCCGUCCAACCGCUCCGCGCUCGACCUCUUCGACCACCUCUGGAACUCCUACUUCGGCGGGUCCAAGCCGAGCGUCCCCCGCCCCUUCGGCGACGCGUGGCUCGACGGCGUCGACCUCUUCCUGGAGCACGGCACGCCGGCGGACCGCUACGACGUGCUGGCGCUGGAGCUGGCCAAGCACAACAUCCGCGGGGGCCCGGGGAAGCCGCUGCACCUGACGGCGACGGUCCGGUGCGGGUACCCGCCGGCGGCGCACGUGGGGCGGGCGCUGGCGACGGGGAUCUUCGAGCGCGUCCACGUGAGGACCUACGAGAGCGACAAGUGGUGCAACCAGAACCUUGGGUGGGAGGGCUCGUGGGACAAGUGGACGGCGGCGUACCCGGCCACCCGGUUCUACGUCGGGCUCACGGCGGACGACAAGUCCCACCAGUGGGUACACCCCAAGAACGUCUACUACGGCGUCGCGCCGGUGGCGCAGAAGAAGGACAACUACGGCGGCAUCAUGCUCUGGGACCGAUACUUCGACAAGCAGACCAACUACAGCAGCUUGAUCAAGUACUACGCCUGAGCUCCUGUACUUCCACAAGCCACGCUUCUUGCAUCACCGUCGGUUUGAUCCUGAUGUACUGUUGCAAACGAGAACAAAGUGAGGCUUGUACUUGGAUAUAAUAAAUAAAUAAUUGAACAGUUGGUCGUACAGAUCUCUGGUUUAAUCAUCAACUCCAUCACUUAAUUGCUUGUGUUUUUAUCUGUAGUUGAGUGAUACUUCCUCCAUCUCAAAAUAAGGCCCUGUUUGGAGGGACCAUCUCAAAAUAAGGCCCUGUUUGGAUCCCUCCG
rnacentral:lncRNA from 1 species